ACCCUCUUCACCCUCUUCAUCAUCCACAGAAUCAGAUGACCGGCCCCUUAGCCAACAUAUAGACAAGCUUCUUAAAACCAAACCUACCAAACUAACAGAUUUAGGAACACUUGACUGGGAGCAAACUCAAAUAGAAUUUUCUAAGAAUAGAAUUAAACUUUGUGAGAAAUUCAAUUUGCCUCCUACUCAUCCACUCUUUCCAGAUAAUCCUGAACCUGUUAGUGUACAACAACCUCAACCCAACCCAGAACCUACAACAAACUCACCACAUAACUCAACCACACAAAAAGCCUCUGAAGUAGCUUCAGAUGCAACUACUUCAGAAACCCCCCAACACCAAGAAUCCUCAACCCUUCACAACUUAGAAAAACAUCUAGGUGGUGAAAUGCAACCAACACCCACUAAGGCCUCUAAGACAGUUCCUGAAAAGACUGUUUUGGAAACCCAAACAGAAACCCAAACCAUCCCUGAGCAAACUGUUCAGGAGCAAACUGCUUCUGAACAAGUUGCUCCUGACCAAACAACUCCUGACCAUCAAACAACAGAACAACAACAACCAGACUCACCCACUAUAAUAGACUUAACCUCUGACCAACCAACCACAUCAAAUACAACUCAAACUGAACCUUCACCCAUCCCUGACCAUAUCCUAGAGUCUGAGUAUAUAGAGGAACAGCCGAUUAGACUUAGUGAUGAGAUUCAGGCACUGAUUCUUCGCAGAACAGUUCCUGCACCUCCUAUUCACUAUUAUGAUCAGUGGAUAGAUCUUCAGAAGAGCUUUGAUGAGUUGCUGGACCAACUCAGAACCAAAUGUGUGUCAUCUCACUCUGCAAUGCUGAAGAAGCUUUUGGAUGAUAUGCAUGAAGCAGCUAAGGACAAAGAGCUGAAUUAUGUACCUCUUCUGGACAUCACUCCUUUCUAUCCUGAAGAAGAGUAUAUCUCAAGAGCUGCAAGAAUUCAUGCUGGGCAUGUAAGAAGAAUGAGGGAAAAGGAUGAGCUACUUAAGAAGAAAGAUGAACAGAUCAAGUAUCUCUUAGAACAGCUGUAUAAGCAAGCCCAACCUUAGUUGCACACCCAACUCUAGCUUGUUUUUACUUUUGUUCUGUGUAGUCUUAUCUUUGUACCUUAACCUUCAUUUAUAAAUAUUAUCAUUGUUUCUGAAAUAUUAUGUUCUAUUUUUUUUAACUCUAAUGAUAUUUAUUGAUUUUAAUGUCAUAUGCUCUGAUACUUCUUGCUCUGAUACUUAUUAUGUUUUUAUUUGGUUAUAUGCUCUACUACUCUGUCUUUUGUUCUUAUUCUUUUUGUUGAUGACAAAAGGGGGAGUAAAUGUAUAGUAUUUUUAAGGCACUGAGCCCCACUACAACCACUUCUAAAUUUCUUUUAAAUACUUCUGAUUUGAUUUUAUGAGUAUUUUAUUGAAAUUUAAUUAAUAAGAAUAGAACUUAGGGGGAGCUUACAAACCUCACCUUAAGGAUCUAUUAGACUCAGGGGGAGCUUACAAACCUCUAUCCCAGUGGUCAACUUAUUAAUUAGAUCAACAACAAUUGAACAUUUUAAAUACUGUUGUUUGUCAUCAUCAAAAAGGGGGAGAUUGUUGGAACAAAAUGUGUUUCACAAUGAACCUUAUUAAGUUUUGAUGAUAACAAGGUAUUAAAAAUUGUCAAUUGGUUAUUACUAAUAACUGUUCAAGUGUACAGGACCAAAGGCUACUCAAGUUAUUUCAAUAGGUCUUGGAAGAACAAUGGAAAGAAAAAGAAAUUCUGAGCAUCUGAAGAAAACUGCUCCUGAAGCUAAACUGCUCCUGAAGAGAUGACGUCAUCAGAAGCAGAAAGUCAUCAGAAGCAGAAAGUCAUCAGAAGCAAAAGUUUUCAUCAGAAGCAAUAUCUUCACCAGAAGCUACAUUUGAUCCUUUAAUCAAACUGAAGAUUCAAAGUUGCUGAUUCUCAAUUCAGUCUUAUCAAAGAAGAACGAAGAACUGAAAGGGAGGUAUCAACGGAUAUAUGGAUAACACUGAGCACUUGUCUCUCAUUAAUAGAGUUGACAAAGUACAAGUGUACAACCACUACCUCCACUACUCUGUUUUUUGUCUACGCUACAAGACAAAACAACAGCCAUGCCUGCAGAAUUUGUACACUCAAGAUGGGAAUGAAUUUGAAGUUUAUUCUUCAAAGGACUACACCCAAAUCAGGCAAAGGAUCACUGGUGGAUAAUCAAAGGAUUUCAAACGACUCUUUAAACGUGCUGAUUAUCUCAACGUCUCUUUCACGCCUCUAUAUAAAGGAGUGAAGACUUGAAGAUAAAACAGAGAUAUACACAAGUUCAAAAGCGCCAAAACUCUGUCAAUUUGAUACUACAAAGCACACUGAAUUUCUGCACUGAUUUGAUACAUCUUAGAAAUUCAUAGUCUAGAGUCUUUUCUGUAUUGUAUUGUGAACACCACUGAUUGUAUAUCAAGUGUUCAAUUCAAACUCAAUUCUCUGUAUUUUUUGUUUGAUUAGAAGUCUCUUGCCUGUGCUUGAGCAUUAGAAGUCUCUUGCUUAGUGCUUGAGCAUUGGAAGACUCUUGCGUGUGUGCUUGAGCAUAGUUUUGUGAAGUCUCAUACUUAGAAAGUAUUGAGCAGUUGUAAUCUUGUGAUUAUAGUGAAAUCUCCUUGGAAGUGCAAGGGGGACUGGACUACUUCCGUGUUGUGGAAGGAACCAGGAUAACUGCUUGUGUCUUUGUCUUUCUUUUCUCUGCUCUGUUCUUUCCGCUGCAUAUCUGAUUCUGAUCAUUUCAUCAGAAGCACUCUCAAACUGCUUCUGAAGUUUUAUCAGAAGAAGGAUUUUUUUUUAGACAGAAAAAGAAAACACAAUUCAACCCCCCCCUUCUUGUGUUUUUCUCACCUUCAAUCUUUAGGUUGACAAUUUAACUUCACGUUCUUUUGUUAGCCUAUUUUCCCAAAUAUAUCAACCAUUAACCCAAGCCAUGCUACAACCCUGAAAGACCUCAAAGUGUGUAUAUAAUUUGAUCUUGACUUUCUCUUUCGAAUUGUCUCAAAUUUACAGCAAGGUACAUUCAUGUGACGACUAGAGUGGGCAAAUGUCGUGACCAGCCCUACUGGAUCUAGGAGAUACAAACGUGUAACAUGGAAAAGAGUAUGGUUGAUUGUAUGAGCUAUCUUCUCCAAGCUUGUCCUGCUAGAAUGUAACAAGGUAAGUAAAUCAAUGAUGUAAAUGUGAUGAAUGAUGAUCUGAGCAACUCUUCGAAAAGGUAUGUUUUUCCUGAAAAAAUGCAAAGAAUAAAAUUUGUUUUCCUUUCAUUACAUGAGCAUAAGCAACAAUUUAAGUUUCAGAUUGUGAUGGCAGGUCAUCAUAAGUUGUUUUUAGAAUGUUUUUCAGUCACGUUUGAUAAGUUUUACAUCUAGAAUAGAUGAGUAUUAGAGAAAUUGCUUAUGAUUUCGGGACAUUUGGAAUGUUUUCUGUAUUUGAGUCUGCGAUUCUAUUCUUCCCGAAACAUAGUUAUUUUAGGGUGUUUUGAUGUAAUUGACGAAGAAAUCAUGCAAAUCGGCAAUGCAAGACAUCUGAAGAGGGUUGAAGACCUUGGGAAGAUGAAGAAUGAAUAUUCAAGAUGCCUCAUAAGGCUUUACAGAGAGAGGAAUUUUAUUCCCAAGUUCCAAGACAUCUUAUAUGGAAGCAAACACCCAAAAAGACGAAGAAAUAGAUGUUCCGGGGCACAGACAGCAUUCACAUGCACCUGACACACGUUUCCGUGACCUUGGGCACACGAUGAGGCGCUGAUGACAGUCGUCAUUAUGUUAUUUUUAUGGUCUUUUAAUGAUAUUUUUAUGGCACUUAGAGAGUCAAUUGCUUGUAUACAUGGUUAAAUCAUCUCAAGAUUCAUAAAAGAGAAGUUUGCACAAAUUGAAGAAGAAUGCAAGAAUUUACUGGAGAAAUCGUGCCACGAUGGACCUGAAUCGUGGCACGUUUGAAGCGUGGAAUUUACCUGAAGAUACUGGAAAAAUCGUGGCACGAUGGACGUAUAACGUGCCACGAUGGUUGAGUAAAUUUGCUGCCACGUAGGAUUAAUGAGCAAAUCGUGCCACGAUGGUCUCGAAACGUGGCACGAUUUUGGGCUUUUCUGAAACCCUAAUUCUUUGUCUAUAAAAGCAAAAUGCGAUCGGAAGGAGAGGGGGGCGAUUUUGGAGACAAAAACAGAGCAUAGAAGACACCAGGAAGCUAAAAGAACACGCAUUGGAUCUCACCAAACUCAUAGUUGGUUCUGGUUUAUGUAUGUUCACUAUUUUCUAUGUAUUUGAUUGUUUAGUUAUGAGUAGCUGAACUCUUAGAUUGAUUAAGCCAUGAGAUGAAUCUUUGUGAUCUGUGAACCAUGUAAUUUGUUAAGAACUCUCUUUGACAUCAAUGAAAACCUAGUCUUUAUUCAGAAUUAUUUGUGCUUAAUGCUUUUCUUAUGAUUGUUUGUAUGACUACUAACCCUAGCUUCUUUCAAUCACAUAAAUUGAUGCUAGGAAUUGAAUGACUACUAACCCUAGCUUUUAAUCCUGAAAUAGUAAUUCUGUUUAAUUCAACAUAGGAACCUAGAGAUAGGAAAUUGAGGAUUAUGACUUAUGAAUUAACGUUCUCACCAUGCUUCCGCGAUUAUUCAAUCGGUUUAAGAGAUUAAAAGGUUAUAACUUAGGAAAGGGUUUUGUGUCAAGAGAUUGAUCAAAACCACUUAGUUAAUCCGUCGUCAAGCUAGGUUAAUUUCUUUGAGAGAGAAGAGAGGCAAAUUACUCACAGUGAGCAAUAGAGAAUUCGAAAGACUUGAUCAUCUGUUUUAAUCCAAUUAUCAAACCAUUUUAUUUCCUGUUAUUUAUUAUUUUAUGCAAACCAAAACUACUGCCUCAGGCACUAAAAUAAUUUACACAUCCUAAAUAUUAAUCUUAUUGCUAAAUUGAAAUUAACACAGUCCUCGUGGGAACGAUAUUUUUACUACUUCGAUAGUUAUUGGUACACUUGCCAAUUAUCUAUCAAGUUUUUGGCGCCGUUGCCGGGGACUGUUGAGUCAUUUCAAUUUGGUAAUUUUGUUUUUAUUUAGGAUUUUUGUCAUUUAUAUUUUUGUUUAUAUAGAUAAAAAAAAUAUAUAUGAGUUAUGCUCUUCUUUUUCUUCUCAUUGUACUGUGCUACUAAAAAGUUUAUCCAAGUUUUGCAGCUAUGAUAGACAGGUUAUACCUCCAUGACACAGAAGAGAUUGGUAUGUUGAAGUAUGAAAAAUAUAUGCUAUCUUUGAAGAUAGGAUAUUUGGACAAAACAAUCUCGAGAUUAAAUGAGAGGUGUGGUCGUUGUGAGGUGGAUCAACCAGGUAGUAAUUGUGAAGAGAAGAAAGAGGUGAUCAACAUCGAUUACCAUACUCAACUUCAAAAUAUUUUAGAUGAAUUCUUGGUGUCAAAUCAAGUUUCAUUUGAGAAGUUUGAUGUUCAGUGUGGUGAUCUUGUUGAGAAGGCACAUGAGUCUCAAAGGAAGUUGGUUAAGAUGGAGAGAGAAUGUCACAAGGUUGUGGUGGAAGAAAAUCCCAAGGUGAGGAGUGUUGAUAUUGGUCCGAAAUCUGAACCAACGGAGAUUAAAGAAAUAACUCGUGUGCAAAUGGAUGCACGUCCUUCUCUAAGGUGGGAGAGCUUAAAUUCCAAAAGAUCAACAAUGAGUGCAUGGGAGUAUCUGAUUCUUUAUGCCAAAUUCAUGGAAUUCCUACCAAACAAGAGGAAGAAGAAGGAUGAUAUAUUCUUUCUAUCAUAUUUGCCACCCUAACAGUGGUUGAAGCGUCAAGCUCAGUGACGUAAAAGAAAGCGCUUGGUGGGAGGCAACCCAUCCUUUUUAUUAUGUUUUCAUUUUCAGUAUUUUAUUCCUAUUGUUGAGUCAGACAAUUGUCACUGUGUUUGAAUAACUCAGUUGUAUUCCCCUGUUUUGUAAUUGUUCUUGCACUUGUUUAUUAUUGAUGAAUUUUCUUGUUUGUUGACUUUUUCCAGUUUAGUAACAAAUGUUUGUUCAAGUGGUAUUCCAAAAGUUCAAAAGGAGGAGCGACUUGUGUUUCAAAGGCGAAGUGUACGACAGUGAAAGAUAGGUAGUCACAACUCCCAGAUAUCAUAACUGUCAGGUUCAUAGCCAAACUUUAUUUUUCCAAUUUUACUUAUAAAGAGUGUUCCAUGCAUUUACAAUUCUAGAACUUGCAAUUUUUCUCUGCUGUCGAUUGAUCUUUGUCAUAUACACACUGAGGCAAAAGUGCUUGGUCCUGUGAGCCUUUUGAAGCCUACCCUGAUUGUUUUGAAAUUUUAUCCUUUCUUUAGCCAAAUUGAGCCGGUAGGUUUAGAUCUUUUUGUUCGGUGACAAACUACAUUACAAGCUUAGAGACUUUUAGGAUUUAUCCCUUUUUGUUUUUCUGAGUUAGGCAUUGUAGAAUGUUGCUAAAUAUUAAGUUUGGGGUUGCUAUUGGAAUUUGCAACCAAUUAAGUUUGGGGUGGAGAUACUAGAGAACAAAAAAGAAAAGAAAAAAAAAAAAAAAGAGAAAUUCUCAUGAAAACAAUAUGCAAAAAAAAAAAGAAAAAAAAAAGAGAAUAGAAUGAAAAAGGGACAAAGAAUUGAAAAACCGAGUAACUUCAAACUCGAUUGUCCCAAUUGUUAUAAAUAAUCUCUAGUAUCCUUGCAAGAGUUGUUGUUCCAAAAGGUGAAUGAAUGAUGGAUUGAAUUUUGUGUUUAACUUCCGUAGGAGUGCCUAACUCAAAUUUUGUGUAGCCUACUUAUCCAAAUAUAUCCCAACUUCACCUAAGCCCCAUUAUAACCCUUUAAGACCUCAAGGUGUGCAUUGACAUUGAUUUUGAUUGAUGUUUAGAAACUUUUCAAGCUUAUGGUAAUAUGUAGAUUGCAUGUCGACUGUGUGUGAACCCUUUCAAAUGUUUGCGUGGAGUUGUGAAUUGGUGGUUGCUAACAAGCCAAACUAGCUCAUCUUUAGCUAGUAAGGUGUUGAACUUUUGGGUACUAUCGCUUGAUCAGGUAAUUGUUAUUUUACUGUCGAUUGUCAAUGAUGCAAGUAAAUUCCUUGAGGACAAGGAAUAAUUCAAGUUUGGGGUUGUGAUGACAGUCGUCAUUAUGUUAUUUUUAUGGUCUUUUAAUGAUAUUUUUAUGGCACUUAGAGAGUCAAUUGCUUGUAUACAUGGUUAAAUCAUCUCAAGAUUCAUAAAAGAGAAGUUUGCACAAAUUGAAGAAGAAUGCAAGAAUUUACUGGAGAAAUCGUGCCACGAUGGACCUGAAUCGUGGCACGUUUGAAGCGUGGAAUUUACCUGAAGAUACUGGAAAAAUCGUGGCACGAUGGACGUAUAACGUGCCACGAUGGUUGAGUAAAUUUGCUGCCACGUAGGAUUAAUGAGCAAAUCGUGCCACGAUGGUCUCGAAACGUGGCACGAUUUUGGGCUUUUCUGAAACCCUAAUUCUUUGUCUAUAAAAGCAAAAUGCGAUCGGAAGGAGAGGGGGGCGAUUUUGGAGACAAAAACAGAGCAUAGAAGACACCAGGAAGCUAAAAGAACACGCAUUGGAUCUCACCAAACUCAUAGUUGGUUCUGGUUUAUGUAUGUUCACUAUUUUCUAUGUAUUUGAUUGUUUAGUUAUGAGUAGCUGAACUCUUAGAUUGAUUAAGCCAUGAGAUGAAUCUUUGUGAUCUGUGAACCAUGUAAUUUGUUAAGAACUCUCUUUGACAUCAAUGAAAACCUAGUCUUUAUUCAGAAUUAUUUGUGCUUAAUGCUUUUCUUAUGAUUGUUUGUAUGACUACUAACCCUAGCUUCUUUCAAUCACAUAAAUUGAUGCUAGGAAUUGAAUGACUACUAACCCUAGCUUUUAAUCCUGAAAUAGUAAUUCUGUUUAAUUCAACAUAGGAACCUAGAGAUAGGAAAUUGAGGAUUAUGACUUAUGAAUUAACGUUCUCACCAUGCUUCCGCGAUUAUUCAAUCGGUUUAAGAGAUUAAAAGGUUAUAACUUAGGAAAGGGUUUUGUGUCAAGAGAUUGAUCAAAACCACUUAGUUAAUCCGUCGUCAAGCUAGGUUAAUUUCUUUGAGAGAGAAGAGAGGCAAAUUACUCACAGUGAGCAAUAGAGAAUUCGAAAGACUUGAUCAUCUGUUUUAAUCCAAUUAUCAAACCAUUUUAUUUCCUGUUAUUUAUUAUUUUAUGCAAACCAAAACUACUGCCUCAGGCACUAAAAUAAUUUACACAUCCUAAAUAUUAAUCUUAUUGCUAAAUUGAAAUUAACACAGUCCUCGUGGGAACGAUAUUUUUACUACUUCGAUAGUUAUUGGUACACUUGCCAAUUAUCUAUCAGGCGCCGAGCGCAUGAGUGUAGGCGCCUGGCGCCCAGAAACUCACUCACAUGCGCCUGGCGCAUGGUUCUAGGCGUCCGGCGCCUGUUCCUUGCGGGCCAAGAUGUUGUUUUGUGACUUUUUGGCGUGAAAAGCUCGGUAUUUUAGCCCAAGUUCAGGGGAAACUGUAACGCCCACUUUCGUUUAAUUAAUUAUUUAAUCGAGUUUAUGCCAUUAUAUUAUAUUUUUAUAAUAUAUAUGUGAGUUUUGUUGAAUUUAGAAGAGUUAAGUUGAUUUGAAAGAUUUGACGUGUUUUGAUGAUUUGAUAAGAUUAUGAGACUUAUUUUAUUGUUAAAUAAAAUAAGAUUUGAUAAGAAAAUAAAAAUAUUUAGUUGAGGGCUGUUUUGAUAUUUUAGAUAGUUUUGGGGGAGAAAGUGAGAUAAGAUAAGUAAUUAAGAGGAGAUAUAAAAGAGAUAGACCUAGUUUUAGAAAAACAUUGUUGUACGUACGUUUUUGGAGAAAAAGGGAGAAAACCAAGAGAAGAACAAGAGAGACCUUGGAGGGCUGCGAUUUCUACACAUUAAGGUAAGGGUGAGACUAAUAAUUCAAUAAUGUUAGUUGUUGUAAUUCUGAUGAUUAAUUAACAAAGUUAGGAUUGAUUUAGAAAAGUUUUGGAAUUAGGUCAAAAACCUAGAAAUUGAUGAUCAAACGGUAUAAUGAUGUUAGAUUGAUGUAGAAACCAUCCUACAACUUAGAAUAUGUUUAGGAUGAAUUCUGAGAUUGAAAUUAGGCUUAGAACCUUGUUAGAUGAUGAUUUUCGUGUAGAAAAUGCAUCAAGUCCGAGCCUAAAUUCAUCGCUCGCCAUGGCGAGUGUUAUACCCUGUUUUUGGACCUAAAAAUGCUGGGCCCAAUUUCAUUUCAAACUUUGUCAAAUGUCAAAUUUCAACUGCACAGUUCAAUUUGUCUCUGCUACGCAGUGUUUUCAAUCACAUUUUUACCUAUGUUUUUCUUGCAUAAAACCUUUCAAAAUGUCUUUACUUGUCUUGUAAGUCAUUCAAAAGUGUCUCUGAACCAUUACAUUGCUUUUUCUACAGUUUAUUUCAAAAUUUGCAAAAGGUCAUAUAGAAGGGUAUUUUGGUCAUUUCCUGCAGUGGGACCCAUUUUCAUCCUUGUGACUGUCUCUGAGUCUUUUCAGAUUGAUUUUUAACAUUUCAUCAGUAAACCUUGUUAAAUUCAUUUCAAACUUGCAUCUGAGUCAGUGUCAAGUCAAUUUGAGUUGGUUUAGGUCAUUUUUAGCCCUAGGGGCAUUUUGGUCAUUUCACAUGAAAUUUUGGCAUGGGGAGGUUACUUUGAAGUACCUCAUUUAGGCCAUUGGUUCGUUUUAGUCCGUUUUGUCAAUUUUAUUUUUGUUUCGCUUUACGUUUGGUCAAAUUACGUUUUUUAUUCAAUUUCGUUUUUAAUUGCAUUUUGGUCCCUCAAUUGAGGUCCCAAAAUUGCAUUUUUAGUCCAGAAUUUUCUUUUUUUACAUUUCAGUCCUUUUUGGAUUAUUUGCAGUUUAGUCCUUGAAGUUUUAUUUUUUGCAGAAAGGUCCAAAUUUCUUUUUUUGUCCAAGCCGUGCCACUCUCAUACAAUUCCAGGUGUCAUGCUCUCAUUGGCUCAAGUGUACACAUGUCAACUAUAUAAACAGUGAGUCAGAUUCAAAGCCAUUGAUCACACGCCACCUCAACAAACAGAGAACUCUCUCUCUCUCUUAGCAGUUACAGAUCAAAACAGAAAUUCUCAAGAACAUGAAGAACACAAAACCCUAACUGUUUCCAGAAAGUCACAAAUUCAUCAAGUUUCAGUGUUUUUCGUAUCAAUUCUCAGAGAUUCGCAUGAAUCUUCAUCACUGAAUUGAUCUUUCUCUGCAAUUCCAAACGCGAGCUCGCGUUGAAGCAAGCUCAAGCGUUGAUCACAGAGCGUGAAAAGAAGAGGGAAAGAAGCAAAGUUCUAAACCGGCGAAGAAGAUGAAAAAACGGAAUCAGUGAGAAAAGGAGAAUCACCGAUUUAUUUUCGGUCCAAGAACAAGCAAAGGAAUCAAAAAACCAGCAAGAACAUUCAAGUUUUCCCAAAGAUUUUCUCCAUUAAAGGUUUCAACCAAAACCUUAGGUAAAACUCAGAAUCUUUUCUCAGAAAUAAUAUCACUGUUAAACCUAAAAAUCACGCAAGCAAAACAGAUUCAAAAUUUCCAGAAUUCAAAGCCAAAACUAUAACCGUAAACACCAAAACCUAGAUCCGUGAGGAUCAAAGUUUUGAAAUCAAGAACAAGUACCAGAAAAGCAGUGAAUAACGAAACGAUGUAGAUUCUUAAAGAUCCAAACGUUUUCGUUCAAAAAGAUCAAAAAAAUCAGUUUCAAAACCGUACAAAGUUUUUCCAGAUCUACAUCAUUUCAAGCUGUAUUUGAGAAAUUUCUUGAUAGAUUCGUGUUUAGGGUUAAAGGACGAAUCAAAAGGUGCAAAAAUAUUUGAGUUCUGGAAAUUUUUUCACCGGAAACUGCUAGGUCUCGCCGGAGAAGAUGAAGUUUCCGGCGGACCUUCAAGGUCUCCGCCGUAGCUUCAUCCUCACCGGCGGUGAGGGUUUAGAGAGAGAUGAGAGAAGAGAGAGGGGUUAGAGAGAGAAAGAAGAAUACGAAAUGAAAAAACCGGCGCGCUAGGGUUUAUAUAGAGUGCUAGACCGGACCGGUUCAAGACCGGUCCAAUCCCAUGCGUUGUGAGCCCUUAGAUCUAGGGUUUGGGAUCUUGGAUCAAUCCAACGAUCCCUGAGCGUUCCUGUGAAAUCCGGAUCCCUUGGCUUUGGGCCUGGGCCUCUUUUCUUUGCUUUUCUACGUUUUUGCUUUUUUUGUGCUAUUUGCAUCGUAUUUCCUUGCUAUCUGCACCUAUUGUUUGUUUACUUCUUUUACAAAAAUCCCUAAAAAAUCCUGGUUGUUUCUUGAUGUAUUUUUGGUAUGUCUAUGGUAUUUUUGCAUAAAAAAAAAUGUUAAAAUGGCAUGAACUAAUUUCCAUGAGUUUCUACACUUUUGGUAUGUAUUUUGCUAUGUUUUGUUCUUGGUAUUUUGAUAUUAUGACAUGAAUGAAUGAUGCCUAAUAUGGUGAUGAACAUGCCUCUGGAAAUGUGCUUAUUUUUGUUGUGUUUGGAUAUGAUUUUAUGGAUUUCUUGUUUUACAAGAAAUAAUUGUUUAUUUUUUAGAAUAAAGUGGCAAAUUUCUCUAUGAACUUGGUGUGAUAUUUUGCAUGCAUAUGCCUCCAUUAAUUGCAUGUCAUGGCUUGAAACAAAAUUUCUUUCUAAAUUGCCAUGAUGUGAUGAUUAUGGGUCACUAGCAUCUUUAAGUAUCAUAUCAAAUGUCUUCUAGGUUUACUACCACUUUAUUACUUUUUCUUUGCCAUCUUUAUGCAUUUCCUUUUAAUUACCUCCUACUAUUGUGUACUUUAUGAUUACUAACCAUUUCAUCUCAUGUGCCAUACAUUUCAUAACAUUCCACCACUCUCUCCACUUUCUUUAGCUUAGCAUUUUUCAUUUUUUUUCUUUUUUGCAAGUUUUAAUUCAUUUGGUAAUGUAACUUGUUAUCAUUGGUUUGUAGCUUGGCAAAGGGGCCAUAGAAUGUAUUUAGGUAAUGUUGUAAUAUGGACUAUGGACACUAUGACGCACCGACACGCACACACUCACCUUAGAUGUAUGCAUAGGAUUGUAUGGUUAAAUAAGCGUUUAGGUUUUAAACACUUAGAGAAAAUCCAUCUUUUUUUCAAAAAAAAAAACAAUUGAACUUCACUUCAAAAAUUUUCAUAAUAAAUAUGAAGUCAACGCUUCAUUUUUUCCUUUCUUUUCUUUUUUUUCUUAAGAAAAAUUCAAUUCAUCUUAACCAUUUAGACUUUCUUUUUAAUCAUUAAUCAAACCUCACUUUUUUUGCUAAAUCUGAUGCUCAUGAAGCCUCCCAAUCUCCUUCUUCAAAACCAUUUUCAAAACUUAAAAUCAAACAAUUAAAACAAAAAAAAACAACAAGUCUUUUUAGCAAGAACUACGCCGGUUUUGAUCCCGUAAAACGGUACGUAGGCAAUGAGUCAAAACUCAUCCAAGCCGAAAUAAAAUCAAAUUCUACUUCUUCUCACCCCCAUUCUUAACUAAUCACACUUUCCCUUUUUUACAAAUAAGCAAUAAAACUAAAGCGUAGAAAUAAACUUAGGAGAACGGUUCUUAUGGAAUACCAUAAUCGCUCCGGGUGCCUAACACCUUCCCGUAGCGAAAACGACCCCCGAACUUAGAAUCUAAGGGUUUUUCUCAAUUUUGCCCUUCCCAAGAAAAAAUAGAGAAUAUCAACGGUCAAAAGGUUCAAGUCCAAUUAAUGGCUUGGCACCCAAAAACCAUGAUAACAGAAAUGGCGACUUCACUGGGGAUUCUUUUUAGCGGGUCGCGCCUAGUUUUCCUUAGUUUAUAUUUACGCUUUAUUUUAUUGCUUACAUAUGUGAAUAUUUGUUUACUUUCAUUCAACGUGUGGGGUGAGAAUAUCAAAAGUCCUAACCCGGGCUGAGUGAACUUAUGUUUAGGUAGAGAUAUAAUCGACAAUUCGAUCCGGGGGUUGCCUCGUGUAUUGGAUUAUGCGAUCAAUCUCACAUAGCUGAGGCAUUUUGAAGGUGAUAUUGUCGGCGUGUGUUGUCAUGCUUAGGCACUUCACUUUCAAUUGUUCGACGAAGCUAUGAACCGUAGUUACCAAACCCAUCCUAGCCUUUUUAGGACGUAGUGCGGUGGCUAAAUUGAGUGUUGUCUCAAACUUUAGUCGUCACGCGAUACUACACUCAAACUAGACCUUCUCACAAAUAAUCAUGGAACGGGUGUCGUCCUGUACUACCAUGAUAUAUGUGAGAGAGGUUGCAGUCUGGGAACUGUGUUAGAACCUUGGUUACUACUAUCCAAAGCCGUAGUUCACCGGACGCCGUGUCCAUCCGUGGCCCCGUUACUUUGAAACUCAACCCACUUUUAAACAACACAAUCAUGCAUACAUGCAUUCAUGCAUAAACAUUUUUCAUGCAUUCAUCGAAGGGUUUAAACAAAUGAGAAUUUUUGUAAAUAAUCACAGGUAUGAAGAAGACUAAGUGCUACAAGUUCAAGGAAGUAGAUUUGGUUAGUUUGAGAGAGUUGGCACUCAAGGUCAAGAGUCAAACAGGGUUCCGACUCCGGUAUGGGGGAUUGCUUACUUUGCUCCGAACCGAUGUGGACGAGAAGCUAGUGCACACUCUAGUGCAAUUUUAUGAUCCGAGCUUCCGUUGCUUCACUUUCCCGGACUUCCAGUUGGUUCCUACUCUCGAGGCUUACUCCAAUCUAGUGGGUUUACCUAUAGCCGAGAAAGCACCUUUCGCCGGUCCCGGGGCUCCUCUUACUUCUCUGGUUAUUGCUAAGGAUCUCUACCUCAAGACUUCCGACGUCUCCAACCAUCUUAUUACCAAAUCUCACAUCCGGGGGUUCACUUCGAAGUAUCUUCUUGAUCAGGCUAAUCUCAGUACUACUCGUCAGGAUACACUCGAGGCUAUUCUUGCUUUGCUUAUCUACGGGCUCAUUCUCUUUCCGAACCUCGACAACUUCGUGGACAUGAAUGCCAUUGAGAUCUUCCAUUCCAAGAACCCGGUUCCUACUUUGCUAGCAGAUACCUACCACGCCAUUCAUGACAGGACUCUCAAGGGCCGUGGGUAUAUUCUUUGCUGCACAUCUCUUUUGUAUAGGUGGUUUAUUUCGCACCUUCCGAGUUCCUUCCAUGACAACUCGGAGAACUGGUCCUACUCGCAGCGGAUUAUGGCCCUUACUCCUAAUGAGGUCGUCUGGCUCACUCCUGCCGCUCAAGUGAAGGAAAUCAUUAUGGGUUGCGGAGACUUUCUCAAUGUACCUCUUCUUGGUACCCGUGGGGGAAUCAACUACAACCCCGAGCUUGCUAUGAGACAGUUUGGUUUCCCUAUGAAGUCGAAGCCCAUCAAUCUUGCUACGUCUCCGGAGUUCUUCUUCUACACGAAUGCUCCUACCGGACAAAGGAAAGCUUUCAUGGAUGCUUGGUCCAAGGUUCGAAGGAAGAGUGUGAAGCAUCUAGGUGUGAGAUCCGGUGUCGCUCAUGAGGCCUAUACUCAGUGGGUGAUAGAUCGAGCUGAGGAGAUUGGUAUGCCUUAUCCAGCUAUGAGAUACGUGUCUUCGUCUACUCCAUCUAUGCCUCUACCUCUACUUCCCGCGACUCAGGAUAUGUAUCAGGAGCAUCUAGCUAUGGAGAGUCGUGAGAAGCAAGUGUGGAAAGCUCGGUACAAUCAAGCUGAGAAUCUAAUCAUGACUUUGGAUGGUAGAGAUGAGCAGAAGACUCAUGAGAAUCUGAUGUUGAAGAAAGAACUAGCUAAGGCCCGGAGGGAACUAGAAGAGAAAGACGAGCUGCUUAUGAGGGAUUCCAAGAGAGCUCGAGGACGACGAGACUUCUUUGCCAGAUACUGUGAUUCAGAUUCCGAGUCCGAUGAUCUUCCGACUACUUCCUAUGCUUGAGAGCUUUAUUUGUUUACCUUGUUGAAAAUGUUGUGUAAUUUUGAUUAUUUGCAAGAUUUCUAAUUUGUUUUAAAAUCCUUCGAUGAAAAAAAUAAGUCUUUUGCAUUCGCAUUUGCAUAUCAUGCAUCAUAUGCAUCAUGCAUUGGUCACAAAGGCUUCCAAGUGCUCACUAUCUCCUGGUUCCUCUGCCGCAGUGUGAAAAGUGGCUCGUGCUCAGAGAGUUUACGAACCAGAUAGAAUUGAUCGAACCAGAGAAUACAGAAGAAAGAAAAGGGCUAUGGAAGAAGAGAACGCUCAGCUUCGCACCGAGUUAGCCUCUCUAAAGGAGGAAUUGGCUAAAGCUAAUGACGUCAUGACUGCUCUACUAGCUGCUCAAGAGCAAUCAGCUACAGCUAUCCCUACAACCACAGCUGCACCAGUAACUACAAGCGUGCUCCCUACCACUUCUGCAGACAAUCGCUUUACUAUGCCAGUGGGGUUUCCGUAUGGGCUUCCACCGUUCUUCACUCCCGUUGCUACAGCAAGCACCUCGGGCACUGCUAACAAUGUUCUGAUCCCUGCAACAAAUGCCGCCUCCAUCAUUGCUACCUUGCCACAAACAACAGCAGCUGUCACUGAGCCUCUGGUACACACUCUGCCUCAAGGUAUUAACAUCAACACACAGCACAGGAGCAUCCCCGUAACCAAGACUAUGGAAGAGAUGAUGGAGGAACUUGCUAAAGAACUCCGUCACGAGAUCCAGGCCAAUCGAGGGAAUGCAGACUCUGUCAAAACUCAAGACCUUUGCUUAGUGUCAAAAGUGGAUGUUCCUAAAAAGUUCAAGAUUCCGGACUUCGACCGGUACAACGGGCUAACUUGUCCUCAAAAUCACAUCAUCAAAUACGUCCGGAAGAUGGGCAAUUACAAAGACAAUGAUUCCCUUAUGAUCCACUGUUUUCAGGAUAGUCUGAUGGAGGAUGCCGCAGAGUGGUAUACUAGUUUGAGUAAGAAUGACAUCCAUACCUUUGAUGAGUUAGCCACCGCUUUCAAGAGCCAUUAUGGGUUAACACUCGACUGAGGCCAAAUAGGGAGUUUCUCAGGUCCCUAUCUCAAAAGAAGGAGGAAAGUUUCCGUGAAUAUGCGCAAAGGUGGAGAGGGGCAGCUGCCCGUAUCACUCCUGCUUUAGAUGAGGAAGAAAUGACCCAGACAUUCUUAAAGACCUUGAAGAAGGAUUAUGUUGAGAGGAUGAUCAUCGCUGCCCCGAACAACUUUUCGGAGAUGGUCACUAUGGGAACCCGUCUUGAGGAAGCCGUCAGGGAUGGAAUUAUUGUGUUUGAGAAAGCUGAAUCUUCUACGAGCGCAUCGAAGAGGUAUGGUAAUGGACACCACAAGAAGAAAGAAACGGAAGUGGGGAUGGUGUCAGCGGGAGCCGGUCAAUCCAUGGCUACCGUCGCUCCUAUCAAUGCAGCUCAAAUGCCUCCGUCAUACCCAUAUAUGCCGUAUUCUCAGCAUCCGUUCUUCCCACCGUUUUAUCAUCAGUACCCUUUGCCGCCGGGCCAGCCUCAAGUGCCCGUCAAUGCAAUUGCCCAACAGAUGAAACAACAGAUGCCGGUUCAACAACAACAACAAAAUCAGCAAGCUAGGCCUACUUUCCCUCCGAUACCGAUGUUAUAUGCUGAGUUGCUUCCAACUUUACUCCAGAGAGGGCAUUGUACAACUAGACAGGGCAAGCCACCACCUGAUCCGUUGCCUCCAAGGUUCAGGUCUGAUCUCAAAUGUGAUUUUCAUCAAGGUGCUUUAGGUCAUGACGUCGAGGGGUGUUAUGCUUUGAAGUAUAUCGUGAAGAAGCUCAUCGAUCAAGGGAAGCUGACUUUUGAGAAUAAUGUUCCACAUGUCCUUGACAAUCCGCUACCAAAUCAUGCCGCUGUGAAUAUGAUCGAAGUGUGUGAAGAAGCUCCGAGACUUGAUGUCCGCAACGUCGCAACUCCUCUGGUGCCUCUGCACAUCAAGCUGUGCAAAGCUUCUCUGUUCAGCCAUGAUCAUGCCAAGUGUCUAGGAUGCCUCCGUGAUCCUUUGGGUUGCCAUGCUGUUCGAGACGACAUCCAAAGCUUGAUGGAUGAUAAUCUUCUGACUGUCAGUGAUGUUUGCGUGGUCGUGCCAGUUUUUCACGAUCCGCCUGUCAAGAGUGUACCUUUGAAGAAGUGUGCUGAGCCUUUGGUGAUAAGGUUGCCAGGACCAAUUCCUUAUGUUUCGGACAAGGCAGUGCCAUACAAGUACAAUGCUACUAUGAUAGAAAAUGGAGUAGAGGUGCCUCUAGCCUCCUUUGCCACAGUAAGCAAUAUUGCCGAAGGGACUUCUGCAGCACUAAGAAGCGGGAAGGUCCGUCCGCCGUUAUUUCAGAAGAAAGUAGCUACACCGACCAUUCCGCCAGUUGAAGAAGCAACUCCAACCGUUGUUUCACCCAUUGCUACAGACGUGAACCAGUCAGGCAAAUCUAUAGAGGAUUCAAAUUUAGAUGAGAUUCUGAGGAUAAUAAAGAGGAGCGACUACAAGAUCGUUGAUCAGUUGCUGCAGACUCCUUCGAAGAUAUCUGUCUUGUCAUUACUCUUAAGCUCUGAGGCUCACAGGAAUACUUUGUUGAAAGUGCUGGAGCAGGCUUAUGUUGACCACGAAGUUACGGUAGAUCGGUUUGGUGGCAUAGUGGGAAAUAUUACUGCCUGUAACAACCUCUGGUUCAGUGAAGAAGAGUUGCCGGAAGCGGGAAAGAGUCACAAUCUGGCUUUACACAUCUCGGUGAAUUGUAAAUCAGACAUGAUAUCAAAUGUGUUGGUGGAUACCGGUUCCUCCCUCAAUGUAAUGCCCAAGACAACUCUAGAUCAGUUGAGCUACCGUGGGACCCCGUUGAGGAGAAGUACUUUCUUGGUCAAAGCUUUUGAUGGAUCUCGAAAGAAUGUGCUGGGAGAGAUAGACUUGCCGAUAACCAUUGGCCCUGAGAAUUUCUUGGUUACUUUCCAAGUGAUGGACAUUAAUGCAUCCUACAGUUGCCUGCUGGGAAGACCGUGGAUACACGAUGCAGGGUCUGCUGAAGGAACUGCUUUCCAAGGUUUGACCAUUGAAGGUGCAGAGUCUAAGGAAGCUGGGGCUGCUAUGGCUUCAUUGAAGGAUGCUCAGAGAGCCAUUCAAGAAGGUCAGACUGCCGGCUGGGGGAAGGUGAUACAGCUCUGUGAGAACAAGCGUAAAGAAGGUCUCGGGUUCUCCCCGUCAUCAAGGGUUUCCUCAGGAGUUUUCCACAGUGCAGGGUUUGUUAAUGCUAUCUCUGAAGAAGCCACUGGAUCUGGUCUCAGGCCUGUAUUUGUUACACCAGGAAGCAUUGCGAGAAAUUGGGAUGCCAUUGACAUUCCUUCAAUCAUGCAUGUUUCUGAGUAAUGCGUCUUGUUGCUUUAGCGCUUUGUUUUCAAAAAUAACAAUCCUCUCGCUCUGCCCAAAACGAGAGUGAUAUUUUCUGUAAGGGCAUGUUUGUUUCGGCAUUGCCGUUGAUUAAUAAAAUUUUGUCGUUUCUUCCACGACUACUUUUUUUAGUGCUUUUUCCCUUGGAAACAAUGGUAAUGCCAGAAAAAACCAAAAUGUCUGUAUUUUCUUAUUAAUUUCAAAAUCUGCAUGAAAAAAAAACUCUUUCUAAAAUCAUCCAAAUCAUUAUAUGCAGGUUGAACCAUAAUAAACCCGUUGAACACAGUAAUCCUACGGUUCCUCCAAAUUUUGAAUUCCCUGUGUAUGAAGCCGAAGAUGAGGAAGGUGAUGACGUACCAUAUGAGAUUAUUCGGUUACUUGAGCAAGAAAAGAAAGCCAUUCAGCCUCACCAAGAAGAGAUUGAGCUUAUCAAUAUAGGUACCGAGGAGAACAAGCGGGAAAUCAAGAUCGGUGCUGCUCUAGGGGAAGAGGUUAAAAGUAAGAUCAUCCAGCUCCUCCGGGAAUAUCCGGAUAUUUUCGCAUGGUCCUAUGAAGAUAUGCCAGGUCUAGACCCUAUGAUCGUGGAGCAUCGGAUCCCUACCAAGCCUGAAUGUCCUCCCGUCAGGCAGAAAUUGAGAAGGACUCAUCCUGACAUGGCCCUCAAGAUCAAGAAUGAAGUUCAAAAACAGAUUGAUGCGGGUUUCCUCAUGACAGUUGAGUACCCUGAAUGGGUUGCUAAUAUUGUGCCAGUGCCGAAGAAGGAUGGUAAAGUCCGGAUGUGUGUUGACUUCAGGGACUUGAACAAAGCCAGUCCAAAAGACAACUUUCCGUUACCUCAUAUUGAUGUGCUUGUUGAUAAUACUGCUCAAUCUAAGGUGUUCUCCUUCAUGGACGGUUUUUCCGGUUAUAAUCAAAUCAAAAUGUCUCCUGAAGAUAGAGAAAAGACAUCUUUUAUCACUCCAUGGGGUACCUUCUGCUACAAAGUGAUGCCGUUCGGCCUAAUCAAUGCUGGUGCUACCUACCAAAGGGGAAUGACCACUCUGUUUCAUGACAUGAUUCACAAAGAAGUUGAGGUAUAUGUGGAUGACAUGAUUGUGAAGUCAACAGAUGAGGAACAGCAUGUUGAAUAUUUAACAAAGAUGUUUGAAAGGUUAAGAAAAUACAAGCUGCGAUUGAAUCCCAACAAAUGUACAUUCGGUGUCAGGUCCGGAAAGUUAUUAGGCUUCAUUGUCAGCCAAAAGGGCAUUGAAGUCGAUCCUGAUAAAGUCCGGGCCAUCCGAGAAAUGCCAGCUCCACAGACAGAGAAGCAAGUCAGAGGUUUCUUGGGACGUUUGAAUUACAUCUCCCGAUUCAUAUCUCAUAUGACUGCAACUUGCGGGCCGAUCUUCAAGCUACUCAGAAAGAACCAGCCUAUUGUAUGGAAUGAUGAAUGCCAAGAAGCUUUUGAUAGCAUCAAGAAUUACCUGCUGGAACCACCUAUCCUUGUCCCACCCGUGGAAGGAAGGCCUUUGAUUAUGUAUUUGGCAGUGUUUGAUGAAUCCAUGGGAUGCGUGCUUGGUCAACAAGAUGAAACUGGAAAGAAAGAGCAUGCUAUCUACUAUCUAAGCAAGAAGUUCACCGACUGCGAAACUCGGUAUACAAUGCUUGAGAAGACUUGUUGUGCUUUGGCCUGGGCCGCUAAACGCCUGCGCCAUUAUUUGGUGAAUCAUACAACUUGGUUGAUAUCCAGAAUGGAUCCGAUAAAGUAUAUCUUUGAGAAAGCGGCCGUUACUGGGAAGAUCGCACGCUGGCAGAUGCUUUUGUCUGAAUAUGAUAUUGUGUUCAAAACUCAAAAGGCAAUCAAAGGCAGCAUUCUUGCCGAUCACCUUGCUUAUCAACCUCUUGAUGAUUACCAACCAAUUGAAUUUGAUUUCCCUGAUGAAGAGAUCAUGUAUUUGAAAUCCAAAGACUGCGACGAACCGUUGAUUAAUGAAGGUCCAGAUCCCAAUAGCAAGUGGGGUUUAGUCUUUGAUGGUGCUGUCAAUGCUUAUGGCAAAGGAAUUGGGGCAGUCAUUGUAUCCCCGCAGGGGCAUCACAUCCCUUUUACCGCCAGAAUUCUGUUCGAAUGUACAAACAACAUGGCUGAGUAUGAAGCAUGUAUCUUUGGGAUCGAGGAAGCAAUUGACAUGAGAAUCAAACACCUCGACAUCUAUGGAGAUUCUGCGCUCGUCAUCAAUCAGAUAAAGGGUGAAUGGGAGACCCACCAUGCUAAUUUGAUUCCUUAUCGUGAUUAUGCGAGACGUCUGCUGACAUAUUUUACAAAGGUUGAGCUGCACCAUAUUCCUCGUGAUGAGAACCAAAUGGCUGAUGCUCUUGCUACUCUAUCCUCCAUGUUUCAAGUAAACCAUUGGAAUGAUGUGCCAAUAAUUAAAGUGCAACGCCUUGAAAGACCUUCACAUGUGUUUGCUAUUGGGGAUGUGAUCGAUCAGGCUGGUGAAAAUGUGGUUGACUAUAGACCUUGGUAUUAUGACAUCAAGCAGUUCUUGCUGAGCCGUGAGUAUCCGCCGGGUGCUUCCAAACAAGAUAAGAAGACCCUGAGAAGAUUGGCCGGUAGAUUCCUGUUAGAUGGAGAUAUUCUGUACAAGAGAAACUAUGACAUGGUAUUGUUAAGAUGUGUUGAUGAACAUGAAGCGGAGCAGUUAAUGCAUGAUGUACAUGACGGUACCUUCGGGACCCAUGCUACAGGGCAUACUAUGUCGAGGAAGUUGUUGCGAGCAGGUUACUACUGGAUGGCCAUGGAGCAUGAUUGCUACCAAUACGCCAGAAAAUGCCACAAAUGUCAAAUCUAUGCUGAUAAGAUUCAUGUGCCUCCGCACGCUCUCAAUGUUAUGUCAUCUCCAUGGCCGUUCUCAAUGUGGGGCAUCGACAUGAUUGGAAGAAUUGAACCGAAGGCUUCAAAUGGUCAUCGUUUCAUCUUAGUGGCAAUUGACUACUUUACCAAAUGGGUUGAAGCAGCAUCUUAUACCAAUGUGACCAAGCAAGUGGUAGCUAAGUUCAUCAAGAACAACAUCAUCUGUCGAUAUGGUGUUCCCAGCAAGAUUAUUACCGACAAUGGUACCAACCUGAACAACAAUGUGGUGCAAGCUCUUUGCGAAGAAUUCAAAAUUGAGCAUCAUAACUCCUCUCCUUAUAGACCUCAGAUGAAUGGUGCAGUUGAGGCCGCCAACAAGAAUAUCAAGAGAAUUGUCCAGAAGAUGGUAACCACUUACAAGGACUGGCAUGAGAUGUUACCCUAUGCUCUGCAUGGCUACCGUACUACCGUGCGCAGUUCAACCGGGGCUACCCCUUUCUCUCUUGUAUAUGGUAUGGAAGCAGUUCUUCCUUUGGAAGUGGAGAUCCAUCUCUCCGUGUGAUAAUGGAAGCAAAGUUAUCUGAGGCUGAAUGGUGCCAAAGCCGGUAUGAUCAGUUGAAUUUGAUUGAGGAAAAACGUAUGGAUGCCAUGGCUCGUGGACAGUCAUAUCAAGCAAGAAUGAAGACUGCUUUUGAUAAGAAAGUCCAUCCUCGAGAAUUCAAGGUAGGGGAACUUGUAUUGAAAAGGAGGAUAAGCCAGCAACCCGACCCAAGGGGCAAGUGGACGCCUAACUAUGAAGGUCCUUAUGUUGUCAAGAAGGCCUUCUCCGGUGGUGCUUUAAUCCUUACACACAUGGAUGGUGUAGAACUUCCAAAUCCAGUGAAUGUCGAUAUAGUCAAGAAAUACUUCGCCUAGAAAUGUGAAAAGAACAGCGUGGUAGGUCGAAAACCCGAAAGGGCGGCCUAGGCAAAAAUGCGCUUCCUGGUGGAUCGAAAACCCGAAAGGGCGGUCCAGGCAAAAAUAAGGGACAAAAACAAAUAUGAAAAGCUCGCUGAGAUUGUACACAACUCAGGCAAGAAUGAGUGUCUCGAUGAGCCGAAAACCCGGAAGGGCGGUUCAUGCAAAAAUGAGAUUGAAACAAAAGGCAAGUAACUAUAUCUGGCCAACCACCGUCCCCCUUGGGGCAUCUGCAGCUGUUAAUGACCAUCUUCAUCUGAAGCUUCCGCAUUUGUGAAAUCAAAGUUUUUGGGAAAUGUAAUGAUUACUGUGUUCAAUGUACCACCAACCAAUAAAAUUACCAUUUUCCAAGCUUUGUGAAUCCGUGGAGUCACGCCUUCGGCUGACCACCACUCUUAUACAUCAAAUUGAGCCUAUGCUUUUGUUUAAAACUCUAUUUUCUUCUAUUUUCAAAGCUAUAUACAAAUCAUUUUCCUUCUAUUUUGAUAAUGACAAUGCUUGAAACAAACAUUUUGAAAAAUUGAAAACCUUUUGUCUAUUUUGAAAAGCAAACCUGAGCAACAGGGUACAUUCAAAUGAAACAUGCAUGAGCGAGGGUAUGUUGGUGUCUAUUUCAAUAUGUGUUACAAGCAGGUUCUCCUCCAAGAUAAUCUGUGGUCAAUGGCAAGAAUGAAAAAACAGAAUGAAAAUGCAUGAAAAUAAAUGAGCUCGCUAAGUUGAAAACCCGAAAGGGCGGCUUAGGCAAAAAUGAGCACCCCGCUGGAUUGAAAACCCGAAAGGGCAGUUCAGGCAAAAAUGGGGCAUUAAAAAGAAUUUAUUUCCCCGGUGGAUCGAAAACCCGGAAGGGCGAUCCAGGCAAAAAUGGGAUGCAAAAAAUGAAUGAAUGUAAUUGAGAAUAUAGCAUGCAAAAAGCAUUGACCACAGAUGCAAUGUCUACAACAUACCCAGCACUGAAAUGCCCAGCACAACGGCGUUUUCCCCAGUGGAGCCUCUCAAGAUUCUAUCUCCAGCAAGUUGCAUAUCUACCUGCCCUCAGCUAUGGUUCCGACACGUCUCCCAACGACGUCAUCUCCAAAGAGGAUUUCCAAGAAGGUGUAAUAUAGCACGAGCCACUACGUGCCCAAUACUCUAAUGUCUUGUCUUCCCCGUGAAGUCGUGCCUACAAAAUGCCAACAGUCAUGCAUUACAAGCAUUCAUACAUGCAUAAUCAUGCAUAUUACGUACCCAUGCAUUUAAUAAAAUUGUUAUAUCAUCCAUGCAUAUUGCAUUUCCAAUGUCAAUAUCAGUCUCAAUUCAAAACUCAUGACAGGUCCUUUGUCAAAACCUUGUGAGCCAAUAAUAUCGGUCAAUUUCUACCUUUCAAUUCAAAUCGACGUCAAGUCAAUCUCAAUCUAUAUUUUGUCAACAAACCAAUCCCCUGUGAAUAUGUUCGGUCAAGUGGCUAGUUCAAGUCCAAGAAUAGCUUGUACCUAUCAAUUUGCUUAUGUUAUCGGUCAAGUGCCCAGCUCAAUCCAAGAGCAGCUUGUACCCGCCUAUCUGUCUCUGUUCGCUCAAGUGGCUAGCUCGAUCCAAGGGCAGCUUGCGCCUGUCCAUUUUGUAUUUGUCUCCGGUGGAGUAACCAGUUCGCAUCCAAGAAUAAGCUCGCACCUGUCUAUUUGCCUUGCUUUCAGUCGAGUAACCAGUUCGAAUCCAUAAGAACAACUCGUACUUGUCAAUUUCCCCAGUCGGGUCACCAGUUCGAAUCCAUAAGAACAACUCGCACUCUCCAAUAUCCCCAAGUGAGUUGCUAGUUCGAAUCCAUAAGAACAACUCAUGUUUGUCCAGUAACCUCUAUCCCCUGUGAAGUGACCAGUUCGAAUCCAUAAGAACAACUCGCAGUUGUCUGUUUGUUUCAUCCCCGGUCAAGUGGCUAGUUCGAAUCCAAGAACAGCUUGUACCUGUCCAACUUGUUUCUAGUUUCCCGUUACUCUGCUAUUCGCCGUCUUUGUCAAUGUCUACCAAUCCCGCAAUGGAUACGACAUAUUUUGUUAAUUCCAAUCCCCACGAGGUCUUGCAUUCAUAAUCCAAAUGAUGCAUGGCAUGCAUAUUAUUUGAAAAUGGGUAGGCGUAUUUUUACGUCCAAAUACAGUGCAAAUGCUAAUAUUUAAGUAUCUUCGUCCUGUCAAGCCAAAGACUCCGUCUCUUGACUCUCCAGACAAAGAAACUUAAAUAGGGGCAGCUGUUAUACCCUGUUUUUGGACCUAAAAAUGCUGGGCCCAAUUUCAUUUCAAACUUUGUCAAAUGUCAAAUUUCAACUGCACAGUUCAAUUUGUCUCUGCUACGCAGUGUUUUCAAUCACAUUUUUACCUAUGUUUUUCUUGCAUAAAACCUUUCAAAAUGUCUUUACUUGUCUUGUAAGUCAUUCAAAAGUGUCUCUGAACCAUUACAUUGCUUUUUCUACAGUUUAUUUCAAAAUUUGCAAAAGGUCAUAUAGAAGGGUAUUUUGGUCAUUUCCUGCAGUGGGACCCAUUUUCAUCCUUGUGACUGUCUCUGAGUCUUUUCAGAUUGAUUUUUAACAUUUCAUCAGUAAACCUUGUUAAAUUCAUUUCAAACUUGCAUCUGAGUCAGUGUCAAGUCAAUUUGAGUUGGUUUAGGUCAUUUUUAGCCCUAGGGGCAUUUUGGUCAUUUCACAUGAAAUUUUGGCAUGGGGAGGUUACUUUGAAGUACCUCAUUUAGGCCAUUGGUUCGUUUUAGUCCGUUUUGUCAAUUUUAUUUUUGUUUCGCUUUACGUUUGGUCAAAUUACGUUUUUUAUUCAAUUUCAUUUUUAAUUGCAUUUUGGUCCCUCAAUUGAGGUCCCAAAAUUGCAUUUUUAGUCCAGAAUUUUCUUUUUUUACAUUUCAGUCCUUUUUGGAUUAUUUGCAGUUUAGUCCUUGAAGUUUUAUUUUUUGCAGAAAGGUCCAAAUUUCUUUUUUUGUCCAAGCCGUGCCACUCUCAUACAAUUCCAGGUGUCAUGCUCUCAUUGGCUCAAGUGUACACAUGUCAACUAUAUAAACAGUGAGUCAGAUUCAAAGCCAUUGAUCACACGCCACCUCAACAAACAGAGAACUCUCUCUCUCUCUUAGCAGUUACAGAUCAAAACAGAAAUUCUCAAGAACAUGAAGAACACAAAACCCUAACUGUUUCCAGAAAGUCACAAAUUCAUCAAGUUUCAGUGUUUUUCGUAUCAAUUCUCAGAGAUUCGCAUGAAUCUUCAUCACUGAAUUGAUCUUUCUCUGCAAUUCCAAACGCGAGCUCGCGUUGAAGCAAGCUCAAGCGUUGAUCACAGAGCGUGAAAAGAAGAGGGAAAGAAGCAAAGUUCUAAACCGGCGAAGAAGAUGAAAAAACGGAAUCAGUGAGAAAAGGAGAAUCACCGAUUUAUUUUCGGUCCAAGAACAAGCAAAGGAAUCAAAAAACCAGCAAGAACAUUCAAGUUUUCCCAAAGAUUUCCUCCAUUAAAGGUUUCAACCAAAACCUUAGGUAAAACUCAGAAUCUUUUCUCAGAAAUAAUAUCACUGUUAAACCUAAAAAUCACGCAAGCAAAACAGAUUCAAAAUUUCCAGAAUUCAAAGCCAAAACUAUAACCGUAAACACCAAAACCUAGAUCCGUGAGGAUCAAAGUUUUGAAAGCAAGAACAAGUACCAGAAAAGCAGUGAAUAACGAAACGAUGUAGAUUCUUAAAGAUCCAAACGUUUUCGUUCAAAAAGAUCAAAAAAAUCAGUUUCAAAACCGUACAAAGUUUUUCCAGAUCUACAUCAUUUCAAGCUGUAUUUGAGAAAUUUCUUGAUAGAUUCGUGUUUAGGGUUAAAGGACGAAUCAAAAGGUGCAAAAAUAUUUGAGUUCUGGAAAUUUUUUCACCGGAAACUGCUAGGUCUCGCCGGAGAAGAUGAAGUUUCCGGCGGACCUUCAAGGUCUCCGCCGUAGCUUCAUCCUCACCGGCGGUGAGGGUUUAGAGAGAGAUGAGAGAAGAGAGAGGGGUUAGAGAGAGAAAGAAGAAUACGAAAUGAAAAAACCGGCGCGCUAGGGUUUAUAUAGAGUGCUAGACCGGACCGGUUCAAGACCGGUCCAAUCCCAUGCGUUGUGAGCCCUUAGAUCUAGGGUUUGGGAUCUUGGAUCAAUCCAACGAUCCCUGAGCGUUCCUGUGAAAUCCGGAUCCCUUGGCUUUGGGCCUGGGCCUCUUUUCUUUGCUUUUCUACGUUUUUGCUUUUUUUGUGCUAUUUGCAUCGUAUUUCCUUGCUAUCUGCACCUAUUGUUUGUUUACUUCUUUUACAAAAAUCCCUAAAAAAUCCUGGUUGUUUCUUGAUGUAUUUUUGGUAUGUCUAUGGUAUUUUUGCAUAAAAAAAAAUGUUAAAAUGGCAUGAACUAAUUUCCAUGAGUUUCUACACUUUUGGUAUGUAUUUUGCUAUGUUUUGUUCUUGGUAUUUUGAUAUUAUGACAUGAAUGAAUGAUGCCUAAUAUGGUGAUGAACAUGCCUCUGGAAAUGUGCUUAUUUUUGUUGUGUUUGGAUAUGAUUUUAUGGAUUUCUUGUUUUACAAGAAAUAAUUGUUUAUUUUUUAGAAUAAAGUGGCAAAUUUCUCUAUGAACUUGGUGUGAUAUUUUGCAUGCAUAUGCCUCCAUUAAUUGCAUGUCAUGGCUUGAAACAAAAUUUCUUUCUAAAUUGCCAUGAUGUGAUGAUUAUGGGUCACUAGCAUCUUUAAGUAUCAUAUCAAAUGUCUUCUAGGUUUACUACCACUUUAUUACUUUUUCUUUGCCAUCUUUAUGCAUUUCCUUUUAAUUACCUCCUACUAUUGUGUACUUUAUGAUUACUAACCAUUUCAUCUCAUGUGCCAUACAUUUCAUAACAUUCCACCACUCUCUCCACUUUCUUUAGCUUAGCAUUUUUCAUUUUUUUUCUUUUUUGCAAGUUUUAAUUCAUUUGGUAAUGUAACUUGUUAUCAUUGGUUUGUAGCUUGGCAAAGGGGCCAUAGAAUGUAUUUAGGUAAUGUUGUAAUAUGGACUAUGGACACUAUGACGCACCGACACGCACACACUCACCUUAGAUGUAUGCAUAGGAUUGUAUGGUUAAAUAAGCGUUUAGGUUUUAAACACUUAGAGAAAAUCCAUCUUUUUUUCAAAAAAAAAAACAAUUGAACUUCACUUCAAAAAUUUUCAUAAUAAAUAUGAAGUCAACGCUUCAUUUUUUCCUUUCUUUUCUUUUUUUUCUUAAGAAAAAUUCAAUUCAUCUUAACCAUUUAGACUUUCUUUUUAAUCAUUAAUCAAACCUCACUUUUUUUGCUAAAUCUGAUGCUCAUGAAGCCUCCCAAUCUCCUUCUUCAAAACCAUUUUCAAAACUUAAAAUCAAACAAUUAAAACAAAAAAAAACAACAAGUCUUUUUAGCAAGAACUACGCCGGUUUUGAUCUCGUAAAACGGUACGUAGGCAAUGAGUCAAAACUCAUCCAAGCCGAAAUAAAAUCAAAUUCUACUUCUUCUCACCCCCAUUCUUAACUAAUCACACUUUCCCUUUUUUACAAAUAAGCAAUAAAACUAAAGCGUAGAAAUAAACUUAGGAGAACGGUUCUUAUGGAAUACCAUAAUCGCUCCGGGUGCCUAACACCUUCCCGUAGCGAAAACGACCCCCGAACUUAGAAUCUAAGGGUUUUUCUCAAUUUUGCCCUUCCCAAGAAAAAAUAGAGAAUAUCAACGGUCAAAAGGUUCAAGUCCAAUUAAUGGCUUGGCACCCAAAAACCAUGAUAAUAGCGAGCUAUGAAUCUCGCCUCGCGAGUGAUGAACUUCAUCGCUCGCCACGCGAGCCCUUCCCUUCGCCUCGCGAGUCCUUUUGGUACAGCUCGCCACAGCGAGCAACCUUGAGUGCCUGAACAUACCUAGUGAUGAUUAAAACCAUAAAGGGAUUCACUCUUGAUCAAAACCUUGAGCUAAGGCAGAGAGCAUGUUAGAUUUUGAAAUUUCGACUUUUUAGUUGGACCUUGAGUGCCUGAACAUACCUAGUGAUGAUUAGGAAUGAAUGUAGGACAAGAUUGAACCCAGAACAACAUUAGUUGGGGAGUUGGCUUCAACUCGCCAUGGCGAGUAGAUACUCUCGCCUCGCGAGCACUUCCAGAUUGGAGUGCAUUGAGUGUUUGUGCGAUCUGUGUCGCACGUUUUAAUCAAGAGUGAAUCCCUUUAUGGUAAUGAGAUCUAAUGAUGACGUUUAAUGCAAUCUGUAAAGCAGUUUAAGAUAUGUUGAUAUUAAUUGAGUAUGAAUUAAUGUAUUAUACAUUAUGUAAGAUAUGAAUGAAAUAUUAUGAUGCUAUUGAAUUGCAAUUGAUAUAAUGAUAUCAUCCUGUUGUUGUGUGACUUGACUAUGUUGCUGCCGUUAUUUAGCUAAGUGCAUAAUGUCUAUAUAUAUGAUGAAUAAGAUGACGUUUAGCUCCAAAUUAUUGGAUGCAUAUUGAUAUGAUGAUUACGGUGAAUUGUUGAUAAGAGUCCAUGCAUUAGCAUUCAUUGAGCUUAGUCCUCACCACGAUUAUUAGGAGCUUUUGAAGUAGCAAUAAACGUCACAAGAAAGGGGGGGUUUGAAUUGUGACCCUUUUAAAAAUUAUUCCUGAAACUUAAGUUUAGAUUUAUAUACUCAAGAAUAAUCUUGGUGUAUGUUAGCUUAACAAGAUUAGAGUAUAUAACAAUUAAUUGAAUUUAGAACAGAACAUUCUGAAGACUGAUUAUAAACAGAAUGAGAAAAAUGAUGUUAAGUUAAAAGAUUAUUUUAGCAAGGACCAGAAUGUUCUGGAGAUUAAUAAAAUAAUAUGUGUGUGUUGUGUAACUUUAAAUAAAGAGAGAGAUAGAGAUAGAGAGAGAGAGAAGAAUAACACAGGAGAGUUAUGCUGGUUCACCAAACCCGGCUACUUCCAGUCCCCACACCUCGUGUGAGAUUAUCCACUAUAGUUUUCUUGCUAACAGAAACUUCUGACUAGCACUACAAUAUCUUGAUCACACCAGAUCAGUCCGUAACCUCUGUAUUAUCAACCUUAGCAGGCUUAUACAAUUCUUUGCACACUAGCAAAAGAAAGGUUGGAAUUUUCUAUCUCAAAACUAUUAAGCCCAAUAGACUUUGAGAAAUACAACACUCUUUGUAUGAAGAGAUUUGUUUUGGAUCGAAUAAAUACUCAAAUCUUUGUUUGAGUUUUACAAGAGGCAAAUUCAAGAGAGAUGAUCCAAGAGAUAUAGUGAGAGAGCUUGGAAUUUGCUUUGUUUGUGAAGAGCUUUGUUUGUAGUGAUGAUUUUCACUUUGAGAGAUAUUAGCUUGCAAAACUCUUGCUUAUGACCUUCAAAGGCCCUUGUAUUUAUAGGUGAGGAGUGUCUUGGUGACCAAGGGAGAAAAUAGAGCUGUUGGACACGUUUUUGAUAGCUGUCCAAAGUCUCAAUUGAUUUCUCUUUUCUUCUUUAAAAUAGCCAGAACGUUCUCAGAAUGUUCUUUCUGAUUUGCCUGACUUAGAAAGCACUGUUGCUUUGCUUGCGCAUGAGAUAACCAGCUGUGAUGAGUUGUAUAACUUGCAGCCCACUUCUGAUGAUGUCAUGUCCUUUUGCUCUAGUGAUGUCAUGCUUAAGUAAGCCAUGUGAUCUUAUCCAUUUAAUGGGCUUUACUUUUCCAAAUGGGCUUAAAGCUUUUCUUAUGGCCCAAUAGACAUAAUCAGCCAAGCUUUCUUGCUGUGCAGACUUGUUCGCUUUUGAUGUACUGUUCCAUUUUCAUCGUUUUCGCCAGAACGUUCUCAAUUCAUUCUCAUGAAACAAAUUCUCACAAAAACGAAUUAGUAGAUAACAAGAUUAAAUAAAUAUAAUAUGUUUGUAAUCUUUAAAACAUCAAAUAAGGAUUUUGUCUCAACAAUCUCCCCCUUUUUGAUGAUGACAAACAUUUAUAAUUUAUUUUGAUUUUGAUUUUGAGUUUUUGAAAAAUUUGUUAAAAAAACUCCCCCUCAAUUUUAGCAACCAAAAUUUUGUGCCUUUUUGAGAGUUUUCCAGAAUUUGUUUAUGGACAAUUGAGUUUGAUAAUUUUAUCAAAGAACUCCCCCUCAAUUCAUGCAUUCAAGAUUUAAUAUGCAAAAUGAGAAUAUAGAACAUAAACAACAUAAUUCAUAAAUCAUGAAGAUCAUUACAAGGUAUCAAACCUAGCAUUUCAAAACAUCAAAAAGCAUUGUUCAUAUGCGCACAUACUAGCAGCAAUUUGAUCCUUAGUUAAUCAUGAUCAAAAGACAUAAACAGAGAAAUAAAAACAGAGUUUUUUAAACAUCAAAAUACUUAAACAUAAACAGCAGCAUAGUGAUCAGCAUAGUGAUCUAUUCUUCCCUAGAUCCUAACUCAUAAUCCCCUAAAUCAUCUCCCCCUUUGUCAUCAUGAAAAGGGGCAGCAGCAGCAGUAGGUGGAAUGGUUGGAGAAGAAGCAUCAGAUGAUGAAGAGAUAGUAGGCAUGAACAUGGGAUACAUAGGAACUGGGAAUGGGUUUUGUUCUGGUUUAGCAAACUCAUUCUUGUCACUUAUGGAGUCCUUCCACUUCCUUGACAGAGACAUUUCAAAAGUCAUCCAAGACAGAUAAUGCAAAAUUGCAUUGUUCCCUUCAAUUACCCUAGUCAAGUCACUGCGUGUCUUGCUGCAGUCUUUCUCAACCUUGGUCCUUUUGGUUGGCCUUUCAUUGUGCUCAAAAAUCCUUUGCGCCAUUGAAGGAGAUUCAUUGAAUCUUGAAGGAAAGGAGAGAUUAGUUUGAAGAGACCUAAGGGAAUCCAUUUGGACAGAUGAAUCAAAAGCUUGUGGAGCAAAUAAUUUGUCCACUGAAUCACAUUGAAACAAAGCAGAAUAAUCAUGCUUUUGAGGAGAGAUAAACAAUUUUGAAGGUUUUGUGAUUAUGGUUUUUUCAGUGAAGCUUUGAAGAAUUUCUGAAGCUUUGACUUUUGACAGAGAAGCAUGAUUGCCAAAGUUUUCAAGCAGUUCCUGAUCUUCCUCCAUCACAGGAGAACGUUCUGAAGAACGUUCUGGAGGAUUGCAGUGUUCAUCAGAAGCAUUUUCUGGAACUGGAUUCUGCAGAUCAGACCCAUCUUCCCUCUUUCUUUUGAGGUCAGAAGGAGGCUCAUCAACAGGUUCCUCCUUCAUGUGACUCAGAUUUUUCACCUUCAAAAGGAAUAUGAUUCUUAAUGAAGAUUUUGGUAAGAGCCAUUCCAUAAGGAAGACAAGAUUUUUUGUUACGAGACUGAAUAACAUUGAUCAUGUUAUGAAUAAUGAUAUGAGGCAGACUCAAUUUUUCUUUCAUUAAGAGAUGAUACAUGACCAAGAGAUCAUUUGAACUAACAUGUUGAAAAUUACCAUUUCUAGGCAAGACACAAUGUUGGCUUAUGCCAUUCAGCAUUUUUGGGGUUGGCAGAAGGUUCGAAGAAACAAACUCAGUGACAUUUGGUUUGAAAAGGAGUUUGUAAACAUUUUCAGAAUUGACUUCAAGUUUUUCAAACCAAUCAUCACCAAAGACAGUUUGAACAGAAUUUGAGAUACCAAGAGUAUCAGAGAUUACCUGUGGAGUGAGACGUAUCUCAACAUCCUUAAUCCUAGACACUAUUAAGCUUUCCUCAGGGUAUGCUUCUGCCAUGAAAUAGAAAGCUUGGACAAGCUUUGGGUAGUGUCUCUCACGAAGCUGUAGAAAUUUGGUCCAGCCUUGCUCAUCAACAUACUCCUUAAGAACGACUUUGUCUUUUUCCAGCUUGACAAAAUCAUAAUACCUUCCAAUUCCAAUUGACCUAUUUCCCCAUUUUUCUUUGAAAUCCUUUUUCAGAGAAGGAUCAAACAGAGGUACUCUCUUUCCUGUAGAGAUAUGAAUGAUCUUCUGUUUUGAAGGAUUUUUGCGCUUUGGAGAACAUUCUGGAGAAUAAUCUGAAGAGAGUUCAUAGUCUUUAUCAGAAAGACUUUCUGAAGAACGUUCUGGUUGAGCAGUUUGCUUCUGCUUUCCUUUGUCCUUCACAGUUGGUUUAGGCUUUGGUUUUGGUACAGAAACCUUAAUAGGAGGUUUAAAGACCUUUUUGUUACUCUUAGGUUUGGGCUUAAGAGGAGAAGGAGUUUUCUUAGCCAAAGGGGUAGUUGGUUCAGUUUCUUCAUCUGAAUCAGAGAUUUCAUGUAUAGUUGUGUCUACACUGUUGGUUUUCUUUGUUCCAACUGCAGAACGAAGCCUUUGAGAUUUUCUAGGUCUUGGAUUAGGAGCAGAUUUAGCCUCCUUGGGAGGCAACUUCCUUUUGGUCAUGUUCCUGAGAUGAGGAGCCAUUUUGUUCAAGUUUGGAGGUUCCUGAGGAGCGGUUGGUUGAUCUUCAACAACUAUUCUUGGUGUGUUGAGAUUUAGGUUGACUGAAGUUGGUUUUGGUUCAACGUAGAGUACCAUCGCGAGAGGAUGGAAGGAUUCAGGGUCAGGGAUGAAGGGAAGUUUUUCGUCGUUCUUUAAUGGAGUUUUUUCUGGUGUGGUUUCGGUGGUGAGAUAACCAUCUUGCAUGAUUGGUUCUGUGGAGUUAUUGAGCGGAGAUUGUGGUGGAGUUUCGAAUGGAGUGGUUUCCUUGGGAGAUUGUGGGGUUGAAUCGAACAGAGGAGGAGAUGACGGCGGUUUUGUCACCGGAGGAGAUGGUGGAGAAGGAGAACGGGUUGGUGAUGGUGAAGGAGAGGAGUCAUCUGGGUUGGUGUUUCCGAUUCCUUUGGUUCGAGCCAUUUUGUGAUGGAGAAAAUGGUGGUUGAGAGAAGAAGAAGAGACAGUUUGAAGAAGGAAGAAAGUGGGAGUUUAGAGAGAAAAAGUGAAAACCGGUUUUGGGAGAAGGAAAAAGGUAGGAAGUGACUUUUAGUGGUUUUAAUGAUGAGAGAGGGAACACAGCAUUUAUUAGCUGUAAUUUUUAUAAUUUGAUCCUAGUAAUUACCUAGUUACAUAGAGAUCAGAUUUUAUAGAGAAAUGAGAAGGGACAUGGUUGAGGCGUGGCCCUCAAGUCAGUCUUUGGAAGACAAAUUUUCAAAGAAUGUUUUCAGAACAUUCUGAUGAAGAGAGACUCUUCCUAAUUUGAUUUUUUGCAAGGAUUUUGAAUAAUAUGCAAUUUUUCUUUAAUAAAAUUAAAGUGAUCCUCAACUAAAGGUUUAGUAAAGAUAUCAGCUAAUUGAUUUUUUGUAUCAACAAAAAUUAAUUCAAUUUCCUUUUUAUUAACAUGAUCCCUAAUGAAAUGAUGUUUUAUUUCAAUAUGUUUUGAUCUUGAAUGUUGAAUGGGAUUCUUUGAUAAAUUUAUUGCACUUGUAUUGUCACAAAAUACUGGAAUAUUUGUGUACCUUAUUGAGAAAUCCUCAAGUUGAUUUUUAAUCCAGAGAACUUGAGAACAACAGUUGGCUGCUGACACAUAUUCUGCUUCUGUAGUUGACAGAGCGAUAGUGUUCUGCUUUCUGCAUGACCAACUUAUGAGUGCAUUCCCAAGAAACUGACAUGCUCCACUUGUACUUUUUCUUUCUAUUUUGUCUCCAGCAUAGUCAGCAUCACAGUAUGCUAUAAGAUCAAAACAAGACCCUUUGUUAUACCAAAGGCCAAGAUCAGUAGUACCUACUAGAUAUCUGAAAAUUCUUUUUACAGCGGUUAAAUGAGAUUCCCUUGGAGAGGUUUGAAAACGUGCACAUAAACCAACAGCAAAAACAAUAUCUGGUCUGCUAGCAGUUAAGUACAACAGAGAUCCAAUCAUACCUCUGUAUUCUUUUUCAGAAAUGGUUUUUCCAUUUUCAUCCUUAUCUAAAUUAGAUGUUGGAUGCAUGGGAGUUGCCAUUAUUUUGGCUUCAUUCAUUUUAUAUUUUUUGAGAAGAUCUUUUAUAUAUUUUUCUUGACAAAUAAAAAUGCCAUUUGAUUCUUGCUUAAUUUGCAAGCCAAGAAAGAAUCUUAAUUCUCCCAUCAUACUCAUUUCGAAUUCACUUUGCAUGAGAUUUGAAAAAUCAUCACACAUUUUUUCAUUUGUUGAACCGAAUAUGAUGUCAUCAACAUAAAUUUGAACAAUUAAAAAAUUUGUUUUGUCAUCUUUUCUAAAAAGGGUUGUAUCAAUUUUUCCUCUAGAAAAAUCAUUUUUGAUUAAGAACGUGCUUAACCUUUCAUACCAAGCUCGAGGAGCUUGUUUAAGACCAUAUAGUGCUUUUGUGAGUUUAAACACAUGAUUAGGUUUGUUUGUGUUCUCAAAACCAGGAGGUUGAUGAACAUAAACUUCCUCAUUUAAAAAUCCAUUUAAAAAGGCACUUUUGACAUCCAUUUGAAAUAAUUUAAUAUUUUUAUGAGAUGCAUAUGCAAGAAGAAUUCUAAUUGCUUCUAACCUGGCUACCGGAGCAAAGGUUUCAUCGUAAUCAAUACCUUCUUGUUGAUUGUACCUGUUAUACCCUGAUUUUGGACCUAAAAAUACUCGUUCAAAUUUCUUUUUUUAACACUGAUGUUUGUCAAUUCUCUGUUAUUUUUCUCUGAAUCUUUACUCUCUUUUUAAAACAUAUUUUACUGCCUCUGUCUGUCUUUUCUUGCAUUACAAGUCAUUUAAGAACUCUCUGAAACGUCGCAUUACUUUUCUUGCAUUUUAUUUCAAAAAAUCAUACAGAAGGGUAUUUUGGUCAUUUCCUGCAGUGGAACCCAUUUUAGUCCCUGUGUUUGCCUCUGAGUCUUUUCAAUUUGUCUGUACAAAUCAUUAUCGAGUCUUUAUUAAGAAAAUAAUUUCAAAAAUUGCAUUUGAGUCAAUUCGAGUCAGUCUAGUCCCUAGGGGCGUUUUGGUCUUUUCCUAUUAAUAUUUCGACAGGGAGGUAUUUUAAAAUACCUCAUGUCAAUAUUUGGUUCGUUUUAGUCCUUUUGUUGAUUUUAAUUUUAGUUUCACUUUACGUUUGUCAAAAUUACUUUUUUUAGUUCAAUUUUAUUUAUAAAUCACAAUUUAGUCCAAAACUUUUUAAUUUUUAUUUUUUGUCCAUUUUUAAUUGCUGUCCAGUCCUUUUUUAUUAUUUUUUUUGCAGAAAAGGUCUCAGGGGCAUUUUUGUCCAGAAUUUUCGCACACUUCAGUCCCAGUCCAGAUGGCAUUUUCUCAUUGGCCCACAAAUACACAUGGCAGGCUAUAAAUAGAUGUGUCAGAUCCAAAUAAAAAAAAAAAAAAUCAGUCACAUCACAAAAACAGAAAUUUCUUUCUCUCUCCAAAAUCAGUUAGAUCCAAAACAGAAAAUCACCAAAAAAUUCUCCAAGAACACCAAGAACAAAUCUUCACAAAAUCAACAAAUCCGAACCGGAUUCACUCAAAACCAACUCAAAUCAUCACAAAAUCAACAAAUCCGAACCGGAAUCAUUCAAAACCACCGCGAAUCAUCACACCAACACCAAAUCCGUACCGGAUUUUCGAGCAAAAGCGGCACCACCGGAGCAAAUCCGCGCGCGCGAGGCGGAGAGAAGAGGAGGCUCGUUUUUUUUUUCUCCGUUUCACGACGACGGUAACACUUUUUUCCCUCGUUUUCGCGCAUAUACACAUGUGAAAAGUUUGUUACGAAUCAAGAUUUGUAGAUCUAAGCUUGUACGUUCGGAUUUUUGAAAUUUUGAGGCCGGAUUCGGACUCUAGAGCGAAAAGGAUAUCUAGAUCCGUAAGCUUUUUUACAAAAAGAGUGAAAAAAUUCCGAAAGUUCAAACGUAGAUCUACGACGAAUCUCUCACCCCUUUUUAAAACUAGCACCGGAUUUGUGUAGAGGAGGUGGUGACGGAACUUUUGAUGUAAAAAUUUUUUAAAAAAAAGAAGUUCGAAUUUUCCGGCGCGGUGGCGCCGCCGCCGGAAACCGGCCGGCCGCCGCGCCGGAAUCACCACCACCACCCACCUUCGCCGGCGGGAUUUUUAGAGAGAAGGGAGAGCUUCUCUCUCUAAGUAUGACUUAGAGAGAGAAGAAGAAGAGUUUUAUGAGUUUUUGUGUGAAAAUUCCUUUUUAUACUCCCUCCGAUCCCACGCGCGCGCGUGCGUGCUCUUGUUGUGUUCCCUCGCUCUGUGAACCAUCAGAUCUGGAUUGUUCCAAGAUCUGAUGGCUGCUGUGUAUUUGAUUUUGAAUCCUGUGCGUGACUUUUUGUGUGGAAUAUGGUAUAUCUUCUGUUUGAACCGUUAGAUCUUUGAUCUAACGGUCACUGUGCUUCCUGCAUUUUACACUAUCUUUGGUGCUUUUUUCUGGACCCUUUGAUCUAAUGGCUGUGAUGUAAUAUUGGGGGCUAGAUCUGGACCUCUGGAUUCAUCCAACGGUCCAGAUUAAAUCAUGCUGAGUUUUUUUUUAAUUGCUUUAAUUGUGUUUUAAAUACCUUUUUUACACUUUCUUGGUGUUUUAUGCUUCUAAAAAUAUUUCUAAAAAUAUUUCCCUAUCAUUUUAAUUUUUCCUCUAAGUUUUAGAAUUUAUUUGCUUAUUUUUGCAUUUAUUUUCUUUACUUUGUUCUUUUAAUUCUUGCUCAUUUAAUUCUUGCUCAUUAAAUUCCAUAUAUGUUCUUGAUGCAUUUUUUCAUAUUGUGAUAUUUUGGCAUGUGAAAUAAUGUGUGAAAAUAUCUCUAGGAACAUGAUAUAAUGCUUUGCUUGUGUAUGCUCUUAUGAUCCUCACAUUGUAGCUUAAAUUCAAACCUUUCAAAAAAUGGCUAUAAUGAGGAAAUUAUGGGUCAUAUGCAUGUAUGAGUGUUAUACCUAAAUUCUAGGUGUAUUUUUUUUACCACUUUAUUUCAUUUCAUUACUUUUUUUUUUUUUUUCUCUCUUGCUAUUCUAUUCAAUUUUGUUUACCUUUCUACUAUUUUUAUGCUUUAUGAUACUAACCAUCUCAUCUCACAUUUCAUUCAUCCUAUAGUUUUGGCAUCAUUUUUUCCAUUCAUUUCUAUAUCAAUUGGGUUUGUAAUAAUCUUAGAUAGAUUAGUUCCUUUUAAAAUUCUUCACAAAGACCAUAGCAUGUAUCUAGGACAAUGUAAAGGACUAUGGACAUUAUAAGGGAUGUACAUCGACACAAGCACCGACACGCACACACGUUGCAUGAUUAUCGAUUUAGGUGUAUGUUUAGGAAUUCGACGCCUAGUGAAAUUUCUUCUUUGAAAUAGGCUAAAUCUUUCAAACAAACUUUGGAGUCAAAACUCCAAUGCCUUUUUGUGAAAUAAAAAUAAAGAUCAAAUUCGACAUUUUUCUUCUAUGCCUUACGGCUUCUCUCCUCCUUCUCAAAAAAUCAUUUUCCAAAUAAAAAUGAGAUCUCAAUCAUCUUCUCUCCCCCAUUCUUCACUCAAAUAAAACUUCUUUUCUUUCAACAAGUAGGCAAUAAAAAUAAAGCGUAGAAAUAAGCUUAGGAGAACGGUUCUUAUGGAGUACCAUGAUCGCUCCGGGUGCCUAACACCUUCCCGUAGCAAAAACGACCCCCGAACUUAGAAUCUAAGGGUUUUUUCUCAAUUUUGCCCUUCCCGAGAAAAAAUAGAGAAUAUCAAAGAUUGAAAGGUUCAAGCCAAAUUAAUGACUUGACACCCGAAAAUCGCGAUAACAGUACCCUUGAGCUACCAAUCUAGCUUUGUUUCUGAUAACUUUUCCUUCUUCAUUUAGUUUAUUUCUAAAUACACAUCUUGUUCCAAUGAUGGAUUGAUUUUGAGGUUUAGGAACAAGAUUCCAUACUUCAUUCUUUUCAAAUUGAGAGAGUUCUUCUUCCAUGGCUUUUACCCAUGAUUCUUCACAUAUUGCUUCUUGUAUAUUUUUUGGUUCAAUGUGAGAGAUCAUUGCCAUGUUGACAUCAUUAUUCAUAAAUGAUCGUCUUGUUCUUAUUCCAUCAGAUGUGUCUCCAAUGAUUUGUUCAGGAGGAUGAUCACCGACAGUUUUCCAGCUUUUUGGAAGAACUUGAGAAGAAUGUUCUUGAGAAUCAUUACUUUCUUUUUGAGGAAUUUCUUCUUCAUCUUCUUUGUUGAUUAUCAAGUCAUCAAACUCAUCAAAAAUAACAUGCAUGCUUAUUUCCAUGGUUUGAUUUUUCAAAUUAUAAAUUCUAUAUCCUUUGGAGUUUGUUGCAUAUCCUAAGAAUAUUCCUUUAUCUGAUUUUGAAUCAAAUUUUCCUAGAUUUUCUUUAUCAUUUAAAAUAUAACAAUAACAUCCAAAAACAUGAAAAUAUGAGAUGUUAGGUUUUACAUUUUUCCAGAGUUCGUAUGGGGUUUUGUUUAAAACUUUUCUAAUUGAAACCCUGUUUAUGAUAUAGCAAGAAGUAUUUAUGGCUUCAGCCCAAAAGUAUUUUUCUACAUUUGAUUCAUUUAACAUUGUUCUUGCCAUUUCUUGGAGUGUUCUAUUUUUUCUUUCAACAACUCCAUUUUGUUGUGGAGUUCUUGCACAUGAAAAAUUAUGAGAGAUUCCUUUUUCAUCAAAGAAAUUUUUAAAGAAAGCAUUUUCAAAUUCUCCUCCAUGAUCACUUCUUACUGAAAUGAUUUUUUGAUUCUUUUUCAUUUUGAACUAAUGUGCAAAAAGUUUUGAAUGCUUCAAAAGCUUCAUCUUUAUGUUUUAAAAAUAGAACCCAUGUAUAUCUGGAAAAAUCAUCAACUAUAACAAAACCAUAUUGUUUUCCACUUAAACUGGCGGUUCUAACAGGACCAAAUAGAUCUAUGUGAAGUAGUUCAAGAGGUCUCUUAGUUGAAACAAAAUCAUUUGUUUUAAAACUGCUUUUAACUUGUUUACCUCUUGUACAAGCUUCGCAAAUUCUAUCUUUUUCAAAAUCAAUUUUUGGAAGUCCUCUUACGAGAUCCAGUUUGGAGAUUUUUGAAAUAGUUUUCAUACUUAUAUGUCCAGCUCUUUUGUGCCAAAUCCAUUUAUCUUUUUCAAGCAUCAUAAAACAUGUUUCUGCUGGAAUAUCAUCUAAGUAUAAAGCAUAUAGGUUUUUCUUUCUAGAAGCAGUAAAGAAAAUCUUACCUGAGGAUGUGUGUUUUACAAUACAUAUAUUAGGUUUGAAAACAACUUCGAAGCCACUAUCACAUAAUUGACUUAUGCUUAGUAGAUUGUGUUUUAAACCUUCAACAUAUUGAACAUCCUCAAUUUUUGCAGAGUCUUUUUUACCAAUGAUACCUUUACCUUUAAUUUGUCCUUUGUCAUUAUUGCCAAAGGUUACUAGACCUCCUUCCUUUUUUAUGAAGGAGAUGAAACAUUGUUUAUCCCCAGUCAUGUGUCUAGAACAACCACUGUCCAAGUACCAUGGCUUUGUUCUUGCAUCUUGUGAGAAUCCCUGCAUUUUGAGUUAGUGGUUCCUUAGGUACCCAUGAAGAUGUGGGUCCUUUGAGGUUAGUUUCUUUAAUCUCAAGUUGUUUAAUCUUGAGAAAACAGUUUAAUUCUCGAUAACCUACUCUCUUACAAUAUGAGCAUUCUUUUCUUUUUAAUGAUAAAGAAUGUUCUGGAGAAUGUUCUGAGAUAGAUUGUUCUUCUUUAAUUUCUAGUUUUCUCCUUUUAUGAAAACAGACAGAUUCAUGAUGUCCUCUUUUAUUACAGAAUGAACAUUUUAGUUUUUGUGGUAUAAGACACUUGUUAUCAUGGUUUUUGGGUGCCAAGCCAUUAAUUUGGACUUGAACCUUUUGACCGUUGAUAUCUCUCUUUUUUCUUGGGAAGGGUAAAAGGAGAAAAACCCUUGAGUUUCCGGAUUCGGGGGUCGAUUUCGCUACGGGAAGGUGUUAGGCACCCGGAGCGAUUAUGGUAUUCCAUAAGAACCGUUCUCCUAAGUUUAUUUCUACGCUUUAAUUUUAUUGCUUAUUUGUAAAAAAAGAAGGUGUGAUUAGUUAAGAAUGGGGGUGAGAAGAAGUAGAAUUUGAUUUUUUUGUUUCGGCUUGGAUGAGUUUUGACUCAUUGCCUACGUACCCUUUUAAGGGAUCAAAACCGUUCGUAGUUCAUUCUCAAAAAUAGUUUUUGUGUUUGUUGGUUGAUUUUAGGUUUGAAAAGAGAUUUUGAAGAAUAGAGAUGAGAGGCCUCAAGGGCAUAAGGUUUGGAAAGUGUGAGGUGGAUUUAGUCAUUUUGCAAAAAUAAAGUCUAAGAAGGGUUAAGAUUCAUUGAAAGUUUUACUUAAGAAAAUAAAAAGGGAAAUAAGGAGUUUUGACUCCAUUUUAUUUUCAAAAAAAAGAUUUUCAAGUGAAGUUAUUUGCAUGUUCUUUUUGGAAAAAAGUUGGAUUUUUAUCUAAGUGUUCAAACCUAAACGCUUAUCUAACCAUACAAUCCUAUGCAUACAUCUAAGGUGAGUGUGUGCGUGUCGGUGCGUCAUAGUGUCCAUAGUCCAUAUUACAAAAAUUGCCUAAAUACAUUCUAUGGCCCCUUUGCCAAGCUACAAACCAAUGAUAACAAAUUACAUUACCAAAUGAAUUAAAACUUGCAAAAAAAAUAAAUGCUAAGCUAAAGAAAGUGGAGAGAGUGGUGGAAUGCUAUGAAAUGUAUGGCACAUGAGAUGAAAUGGUUAGUAAUCAUAAAGCACACAAUAGUAGGAAGUAAUUAAAAGGAAAUGCAUAAAGAUGGCAAAGAAAAAGUAAUAAAGUGGUAAUAAACCUAAAAGACAUUUGAUAUGAUACCUAAAGAUGCUAGUGGCCCAUAAUCAUCACAUCAUGGCAAUUUAGAAAGAAAUUUUGUUUCAAGCCAUGACAUGCAAUUAAUGGAGGCAUAUGCAUGCAAAAUAUCACACCAAGUUCAUAGAGAAAUUUGCCACUUUAUUCCUUAAAACUAAACUUGUUGCUUGCAAAACAAGAAAUUCAUAAAAUCAUAUUCAAAAACAGCAAACAAAAACACAUUUCCAGAGGCAUAUUCAUCACCAUAUUAGGCAUCCUUUAUCCAUGUCAUAAUAUCAAAAUGUCAAGAACAAAACAUAGCAAAAUGCAUACCAAAAGUGUAAAAACACAUGGAAUUAGUUCAUGCCACUUUAACAUCUUUUUUUAUGCAAGAAACACCAUAGAAAUGCCAAAAAUAUACCAAGAAAUAACCAGGAUUUUUAGGAUUUUUUUAUAAAAAAAGUGAGCAAGAAACAGGUGCAAGUAGCAAAGAAAUACGGUGCAAAUAGCAAAAAAACAAAAAAAACGUGAAAGAAAACUAAGCCCAAACCCAAAGCCCACACUCAAGACUCAGACUGCACAGGAGCCACACGAUUGAUCUAGGAUUCUGAAACCCUAGAUCAAACGGCCAGGAACAAGGGGGACUGGACCGGAAAUAAACCGGUCCGGUUCACUGGCUAUAUAAACACAAAGGCUCCGGUUUUUUUCAUUUUCUCCUCUCCUUCUCUCUCUUCUCUCAUCCUAGUGAGAGAAGCUCCCACUUCUCUCUAGAAAUCCGGUUGUCUUCUCCGGCAUGGCUUAGCUCCUCCGGCGCGGUGGCCGGCCACCUCCAGGUGGCGGCGCCGCCGCCGGAAAAACUUCCUUGCUCCGAUUCAAAAAAUUUUUACGUUUUUAAACAUCCUUUUUCGUGCUAUUCAUGAAUCCGAGCUUGGUUUUUUGAAAAAGAUUUUCAACCGGAGUAGAUCUAAGUUUGAAGUUGCGGUUUUGAAUGAAGUUUUUCUUUGUUCUUUGUGCUUUUUGGCUACGUGCUUCUAGAAUCCUACAUGUUUAUACUUGAUUCUCCUUUUUAUCCAUUUUUUGCGAAAAAAAGGAAGUUUGAGUUUUACCUGUGGUUUUCUUGGUGGUUCCGAUCCGGAUCUUCAAGGAAAGCUUGAUUUUAGUCUUGUUCCGUUGAUUCUGGUUUGGUUCCCUGCUGUUCUGAUCCGCUCUUCUUCUUCACAGGUUCGGUAUAUGGAUUUUCGUCCCUCUUCUUCGUCUCCGGGAAAGCCUCUGCGAUCGUGCUUGAGUUCGCCGCUUUCAGUGGUGGACUCGCACUCGAAUUGCAGAGCAACGAUUCAAUGAUGAUGAUUCCUUGGCGAAUCUCUGAGAAUCGUGGAAAAUUCAAUGAAUUUCUUGAUGAUUUUGUGAUUCUGGUGAUUUAGGUUUUUUUGAUUUUUCUCUGUGUUCUUGAUGAUUUCUCUGUGAUUCUGGUUUUGAUCUAACUGACAAGAGAGAGAAAAAUUGAUUCUGUUUUUCUUCUUUGGUGAAGUGGCGUGUGAUUAAUGGCUUUGAAUCUGACUCACUGUUUAUAUAGUUGACAUGUGUACACUUGAGCCAAUGGAACUGUGACAUCUGGAUUUGUAUGGGAGGGGCACGGCCUUGGACUUAAAAUGGACUUUGGACCUUUUUGCAAAAAUAAGAAUUUUAAGGACUAAACUGCAAAAUUAAAAAAACUUGAAAUGAAAUAAACAAAAAAACAGUUUGGACAAAAAUGCAAUUUUGGGACCUCAAUUGAGGGACCAAAAUGCAAUUAAAAAUAAAAUUUGAAUAAAAAACAUAAUUUGACCAAACGUAAAGUGAAACAAAAAAUAAAAUUGACAAAACGGACUAAAACGAACCAAUGGCCUAAAUGAGGUACUUCAAAGUAACCUCCCCAUGCCAAAAUUUUAUGUGAAAUGACCAAAAUGCCCCUAGGGCUAAAAACGACCUAAACAGAUUGAAAUUGACUCAACACUGACUCAGACGCAAGUUUGAAAUGAAUUUUAACAAGGUUUACUGAUGAAAUGUAAAAAACAAUUCGAAAAGACUCAGAGACAGUCACAAGGAUGAAAAUGGGUCCCACUGCAGGAGAUGUCCAAAAUACCCUUCUGUAUGACUUUUUGCAAAUUUUGAAAUAAACUGUAGAAAAAGCAAUGCAAUGAUUCAGAGACACUUUUGAAUGACUUACAAGACAAGUAAAGACAUUUUGAAAGGUUUUAUGCAAGAAAAACAUAGGUAAAAUUGUGAUUGAAAAUACUGCGAGACAGAGACAAAUUGAACUGUGCAGUUGAAAUUUGAUAAUUGACAAAGUUUGAAAUGAAAUUGGGCCCAAUAUUUUUAGGUCCAAAAACAGGGUAUAACAACACUUUUCAUAAAUUUGAUUAAAACCUAAACCAGAUUUGUCAAAUUCUGCCAUUUGUGAACCUACAAUUUUUUGAAAUGUUUCUGUUGAUUUUAUAAAUUGUGAAAGAUCAUUUCUAAGUUCUUUGACUUCCUUUUUAAGAAUAAUAUUUUCAUUUUUAGAAUUUUCAGGAAGUUUUGUUUUUCCAAGAACUUUUAAUUUUUCAUUUACUUGAAAGUAAGAGUCUUGUAGACUUUGAAUGAUUUUCUUUUGAUCAUUAUUCAAAGUUCGAAGUUUCUCUUUUUCUUCUUUUAACUCAGAAAUUUCUUUUUGUAAAGAGUGACAUUUGUUUGUUAAAAAGUUUGAAUCAAAUAAAAGACUAUCAAAUUUAUUUUCUAACUCUUUAUAUACUAGAGGUUGGUUAAUAAGAAUUACCUCUUCGCUUUCUGAAUCUUCCAUUAGAACCAUGUUGGCUUCAGUGUCUUCAUCUUUUGAUUCUUCAAGAUCAUCCCAGGUAAACAUUGAUUUUGAGUAGGGAGAUUUCUUCUGACUCUUUUUGUUCAAUGGACAUUCGUUUUUGUAAUGUCCUAAUUUGUUGCAUCCAAAGCAAGUUACUUGACUUUUGUCAAUUUCUCCUUUUGAGUUAUCUUUCUUGUUGGGAAAGUAUUUCUUUAUUUGAUCUCUUCUUCUCAUCAUUCUUUGAAUCUUCUUUGUGAUGAGAGCUAGUUCGUCUUCUGCUUCCCCUUGGAUGUUUUCUUCUUCAUUGGCUUCUUCAGUUUCUUCGUUUUGUGGGAAGGCAUCUUUUUGUUCACUUUGAGAUGCUUUGAGAGCAACCAUCUUUCAUUUCCUUGAUGGUUUAUCAUCUUGAAGUAACGUCUCAUGAGCUUUUAAUGAUCCAAUGAGAUCUUCAAGAGCUAAGGAGUUUAAGUCUUUAGCUUGUGUGAUUGCAGUUACCAUGGGUCUCCAUGUGCUUGGAAGACAUCUUAAAAUUUUUCUUAUCCGAUCAUGAGUGGUAUAAGUUUUUCCCAGUGAUCUUAAUUCAUUCACAAUAGAUGUGAAUCUGGAGUACAUUUCAUCAAUGUUCUCAUCUUCGUUCAUUUCGAAGAUUUCAAAUUUUCUUACGCCAAUAUCUAUUCUUGUUUCUUUUACGUGGCUAGUUCCCUCAUGAUGAAUUUUUAGAGUGUCCCAAACUUCUUUUGCAGUGACACAUUCAUCAACUCUUUCACUUUCUUCCAUGCUUAGUGCGCAUGAUAGAAAGAGUCGAGCUUUGGAGUUUAGAAGUACUUUUUCUUUAUCUUCCUUUGACCAUGAUGCUUCUGGUGUGAGUGUAUCCACCUUUGUUGUUGCAUCAGUUGUCAUAGGUAUAUGUUCUCCAUUUGUGAUUAUUUUCCACAUAUCCACGUCUUGGGAUCUGAGGAAUAGUUUCAUUUUUCCUUUCCAGAAAUAAUAGUUCUUUCCAUUGAAGAAUGGUGGUCUUGUGCAUGAUAGACCUUCUGGUAUGUACUUUUCUUUUGACAUUGCCUUCUUCCUGAAUCUUUUCCUCCAACACUUGUUAGGUGUUUUUGUAGAGCCCGGGCUCUGAUACCAAUUAAAGUAGCAAUAAACGUCACAAGAAAGGGGGGUUUGAAUUGUGACCCUUUUAAAAAUUAUUCCUGAAACUUAAGUUUAGAUUUAUAUACUCAAGAAUAAUCUUGGUGUAUGUUAGCUUAACAAGAUUAGAGUAUAUAACAAUUAAUUGAAUUUAGAACAGAACAUUCUGAAGACUGAUUAUAAACAGAAUGAGAAAAAUGAUGUUAAGUUAAAAGAUUAUUUUAGCAAGGACCAGAAUGUUCUGGAGAUUAAUAAAAUAAUGUGUGUGUGUGUUGUGUAACUUUAAAUAAAGAGAGAGAUAGAGAUAGAGAGAGAGAGAGAGAGAGAAGAAUAACACAGGAGAGUUAUCCUGGUUCACCAAACCCGGCUACUUCCAGUCCCCACACCUCGUGUGAGAUUAUCCACUAUAGUUUUCUUGCUAACAGAAACUUCUGACUAGCACUACAAUAUCUUGAUCACACCAGAUCAGUCCGUAACCUCUGUAUUAUCAACCUCAGCAGGCUUAUACAAUUCUUUGCACACUAGCAAAAGAAAGGUUGGAAUUUUCUAUCUCAAAACUAUUAAGCCCAAUAGACUUUGAGAAAUACAACACUCUUUGUAUGAAGAGAUUUGUUUUGGAUCGAAUAAAUACUCAAAUCUUUGUUUGAGUUUUACAAGAGGCAAAUUCAAGAGAGAUGAUCCAAGAGAUAUAGUGAGAGAGCUUGGAAUUUGCUUUGUUUGUGAAGAGCUUUGUUUGUAGUGAUGAUUUUCACUUUGAGAGAUAUUAGCUUGCAAAACUCUUGCUUAUGACCUUCAAAGGCCCUUGUAUUUAUAGGUGAGGAGUGUCUUGGUACCAAGGGAGAAAAUAGAGCUGUUGGACACGUUUUUGAUAGCUGUCCAAAGUCUCAAUUGAUUUCUCUUUUCUUCUUUAAAAUAGCCAGAACGUUCUCAGAAUGUUCUUUCUGAUUUGCCUGACUUAGAAAGCACUGUUGCUUUGCUUGCGCAUGAGAUAACCAGCUGUGAUGAGCUGUAUAACUUGCAGCCCACUUCUGAUGAUGUCAUGUCCUUUUGCUCUAGUGAUGUCAUGCUUAAGUAAGCCAUGUGAUCUUAUCCAUUUAAUGGGCUUUACUUUUUCAAAUGGGCUUAAAGCUUUUCUUAUGGCCCAAUAGACAUAAUCAGCCAAGCUUUCUUGCUGUGCAGACUUGUUCGCUUUUGAUGUACUGUUCCAUUUUCAUCGUUUUCGCCAGAACGUUCUCAAUUCAUUCUCAUGAAACAAAUUCUCACAAAAACGAAUUAGUAGAUAACAAGAUUAAAUAAAUAUAAUAUGUUUGUAAUCUUUAAAACAUCAAAUAAGGAUUUUGUCUCAACAACUUUGUCCUCCGCACGAUUUAUUAGGAGCUUUGUCCUCCGCACGUUUAAAGUAUAUUAAUACUUAUGAUGACGAUUGGUACCACAUGCAUAUAAGGAGUCUAAGAGCAUUGUCGCAUUGUCGUGUCUAAGAUGCUAUGUUGUUGAUGAUGAUUGAAUAUGUGAUUACGUGAUAAUUGUUUAUCAAAUAUGCAAAGUUGUUUAAGAUUGAAUAUGAUGUUAAUGUUAAUUUAUGAUUCGAAUUACAUUGAUUAAUAUUAUUUUGUUAUGAAAUCUCACCCCUUCUGCUUGAAAAUGUUGCCCUUCGUAUGGGUAACUUGCAGGUGAUCGUGCUUAGUGUGCAGUUUGCCGUUGUGAGUGGCCUUGCCUCGCUGUGUCGUCUAGGUCGCUCUGAUACGUAACGGGAUGGGGUUUUAUGUUAUGCAUGCUUCAUUCUCUUACGUAACUAAUAUGUUAUUUUUAUAAUAUUAUCAAUUAUGAUUUGAAAUAUUUUGAUGGGGCCUGCGUGCCGAAACGUUUUAUGGAUUAUGAUAUAAUUUCCGCUGCAAUGUUUAAGUUAUUUGGUUAAAUUAUUAUUUAACUGUUUUGGAUUAUGUUAUAUGUGAUAUCCCGUUGUUUACGAUGCUUACUCUGAUAAAUGUUUUAAGAAAUUUUUAUAUUGGGAAAACGGAGUGUUACAGAAACUCCCCCUAUAAAUACCGCAUUCCUCAUUCACAAUUUCUCAUUCAUAACGAAGUGGUUCAAGAGGAAUGCAGUCACUAUGCAUCUAGGGAGGAUUCUCUCUCUUCACUCCAAAUUUUUCUAGAGUAUUUUUAUUUCUUUUAUAAUUUCUCUUUAGUUACCAUGGGUAACUAAAUCUUUUUAGGCUUGGGUUCUAAGAUUAACCUCUAUUCUGGUUGUUGGAUAAUUUAUGUAAAGUCUUUAUUUUAGUUAUUUAUCUUUAUGCUACUAGUUUUACUGUUGUUGCGUAAGAUUUGUCUACUAAAGCAUAAUCUACUUAGAAUAAUUGAACGUGAGUUAACUGUUAAUUAAUUCCAACAAAAUGAAUAGAGAUGAUUCAAAUUAUGUUCAAUAUUUAAGCUAACUGUGUCCUCUAUUUAAAUUAAUUGUUAUAUAUUAUAAACCUGAUAUAGCAUAGCCUAUAUAGGGCUCACAUGAAGCGAUCACAAUCGAUAAAACUAUAUUCUAUAGCUAACGGUUGAUCCUACAAUACGCUCAAUCAAUGCAAAAAUAUGUUGUCACCUAUUGGGUUCAUAUUUCUAUAAAUAACUUUGCCACGGCCAAACAGUAUUAUUUCUCUUUUGUGUUUUUUUCUUUUUAUAUCAUGAAAGGUCAAAAUAAUGGAUAUUUGUUAAAAUAAAAUAGCAUGAAUCCUUAUCAUUGAUGAGUUUUUUAUAUGACCUCCUUACUAAGCAUGAUAAAGAAACAAAUUGAACACAUUGAUGCAUUUAAGAGAUAUUUAAUAAUUAUUCUAAUUUUAAAAAGUAUCUAUAAUAUACAUAAAGAAAACUACCUCCUUUCAACACUUUUGGGUUGAAUUUUUCUUUCUAAAAAUGUCAUCAAUUUUCAAUACAAAUAAUACAUAUAAUAAAUAGACAAGAAUAAAUUUAAAUAUUAAAAAAACGUAACAAAUACGAUAUGAAUAUAUAUAUAUAUAUAUAUAUAUAUAUAUAUGUGUGUGUGUGUUUUUUUUUUCUUUAUCAUUUAAAAAGUGUAACAAACUAAAUGAGUAUAUUUAUAUUUAAUUUUUUCCAAUUACAUCUUUAAACAACUUUUUCUAUAAUAAAGAUUGUUGUUGGUGUUAUUGAAAUAAAUAAUCAUGUUUAAUUUGGUUUGUUAUACCUAGAAAGCAACAAAAAUUUAUAUUUUUAGUUUUAAUCAAAAUCAAAAUUUCAUAAAAAAAAAAAUAUAAUUCAUAAUUUUCAAAUUUUAACGCGGUAAAAAGAGUGAAAAUACGGGCACGUAAGUGCCCAUCUUUACGCUAAUUUUUAUAAUUGCAUAAGUGACUUUUUAGCUGAUGAAACGAUAUCAUAAUCUUUAUAAAUUGUAAAACCACAUUCUAUUUGUUAUAUGCAAAAGGCGAGAAAUAUGGCUAAACUUGUCAAGCUUGUUUAUGUUAUAAUUGUGUUUUAUACCCUAUUUCUUGUUGCAACGGAAAUUGUUUGUGAGCUAAUUUUUCAUACUCUUGAAAUUUCCUUUUAUUUCUUUUUAUCUCGUUUUAGUAACAUUAUUUUGUUCUUUUUCCUUCAAUACAGCGGGUAUUCCUUGUAACGAUGAUGUUGAUUGUCCACAGACUCUGUGUGAACAGUUAAUUGCCGACUUCAAGUAUAUGAUAGAUUUUAAGUCGGAGUGUGUUUCCCGUAUGUGUGCAUGUACCGGAAGUCCCGUUUAAGCUGCACUGGUGGUUGGUUUUGGUUCAAAAUGGAACAAUGAAAAAUACCUUUAAUAUUGGGUUGCUUAUAUAUUUUCACCAUAGAUGUGGAAAUCAUAAUAGGCUAUUAAUAAAAUUAUAAAUUAUACAUGUGGCCUUUAAAUAUCUUUUCUACGUACCCUUGUUAUUAAUUAAUUACUAAAAUCAAAAGAAAUUUCCUUCUCAAUUACAUGUCGUUGAGUUUUCCACCUAGAUAUGUGUUGUAUUUUUUUAUCUUAUUAAAAUAACAUAAAAUCUUAUUUACUCUCAAUCAAAAUCAAUCUAGAAUAUAAGGGUGUCUCUAUGUACUUCUCUAGGUGUGUGUUUAAUUGUUUUUUUUGUUGCAUAUAUGCAAAUAUCAAGUCAUAAAAACAUGUUUUACCUUAAUAAACACAACCAGGUGUUACUAAAAAAAUAUAAUCAUAAAAACCUAUAAUGAAAUAUAGAUAUACAAAUCAAGGAUAGAGGGAAAAGAAAUAUCUUCAAAUAAUAGAUGGAAAAUAGUGUUUUAUUUCUUUCUUCAUUACGAGAACUACGAUCUUUGGCUCUGGAACUGAAUCAUUUCCUUGUAUCUGAGAAAGACUUCCAGAUUCAAAGGAAGGAAGUUUAAUUGGACUGAAUCAGAAAUUUUAUUCUAUGAUUGAUCAGUAUAAACAUCAACACCUUCGAAUUGGAUCAGUUUCUCCUGAACAAAUAAGUGCUUGGGCAAAAAAAAUCCUACCUAAUGGAGAAAUUGUUGGAGAGGUAACAAAACCCUAUACUCUUCAUUACAAAACCAAUAAGCCUGAAAAAGAUGGAUUAUUUUGUGAACGAAUUUUUGGGCCUAUAAAAAGUGGGAUUUGUGCUUGUGGAAAUUAUCGAGUAAUCGGAGAUAAAAAAGACCAACCCAAAUUUUGUGAACAAUGCGGAGUAGAAUUUGUUGAUUCUCGGGUACGUAGGUAUCAAAUGGGGUAUAUAAAACUAGCAUGUCCAGUAACCCAUGUAUGGUAUUUGAAACGUCUUCCUAGUUAUAUUGCGAGCCUUUUAGAUAAACCUCUUAAAGAAUUAGAAGGUCUAGUAUACUGCGAUGUGUGAUUUGAUAAAAAUUCUUAUUGUACAGAUUUCAAAUGAGAAACUGUCAUUCCAUUCAAUUAAAUUGGAAUGUCCUCUAUCUGGCAUGUCUCUUGGGAUGAGUAACAUGAAGCUCAGAAUUCAUGGGUGUAUUGAAUACUCCCAAAUCAAUAAGGGAAUUGGUCUAUGGUCAAUUCAGUAACAAAUAAAUAUUUAUUUAUAACCGUACGUACCUUGUGAAAAAAAAAAAAUUAUUUUUUUGUGGAAUUAAUUAUUUCAUCUCUUUUUUUUUUAAGAACUUAAAUUAAGUUCAAAGAAUAAAAUAUAAUAUAUCAUGAUUGCCGAAGUCUAUCUAUCGCAUAUAGGCUUAAAGACAUCGUGGCAUAACCGUCGAGGUGACGUCUUGACCUAAAAGAUCAAAUGGUAUGAUACAUAGACAAAGAAAUCUCUUAUGAAUUCGAGGAUAUUCCUUUUUUUUAUUAAAAAGUAUAUUUUAAAGGAUUCUUCGUUCGAAGGGAGGUAGACUACUCAAGAAUUUUACAUUGAAUUUCUGUCGUAAUUUCGAAUUGCAUAAAGAAUUCAGAAACAAAGAAGAAUGUAUCAAUGAAAUGUUGCUUCGUCUGUAUUGAUAACUUGAGUAAAGAGUAAACCUUUUUUAUUUUAGAUUUAGAGGUUUUCAAAAAUUUGAAAACGGAAACCACUUUCUUUAUCUUUAUUGUGUGUAAAUACUUUAGCCGGAUGAGAGGAAACCCUCACGUCCGAUUUUCAAAGGGGGAGAUCCAUCUUAUUGGAUCCUAUCCAAAUUUUUCGUUUGCUAGGCCCGUAGUUAAAAAACCUACUUUCUUACGAUUACGAGGUUCAUUCGAAUACGAAAUCCAAUCUUGGAAAUACAGUAUCCCACUCUUUUUUGCUACUCAAGGUUUCGAUACAUUUCGAAAUAGAGAAAUUUCUAGUGGAGCAGGUGCUAUACGAGAACAAUUAGUUGAUUUGGAUUUAAGAAUUAUUAUGGAUUCUUCGUUGGUAGAAUGGAAAGAAUUAGGAGAAGAGGGAUCCGCCGACAAUGAAAAUGAAAAUGAAUGGGAAGAUCGAAAAGUAGGAAGAAGAAAGAAUUUUUUGGUUCGACGCAUGGAAUUAGUUAAGCACUUUAUCCGAACAAAUAUAGAACCAGAAUGGAUGGUUUUAUCUCUCUUACCAGUUCUUCCUCCCGAAUUGAGACCAAUUAUUCAAAUAGAUGGAGGGAAACUAAUGAGUUCGGAUAUUAAUGAACUCUAUAGAAGAGUUAUCUAUCGGAACAAUACUCUUAUUGACCUAUUAACAACAAGUAGAUCUACACCAGGGGAAUUAGUAAUGUGUCAAGAAAAAUUGGUACAAGAAGCCGUGGAUACACUCCUUGAUAAUGGAAUCCGCGGACAACCAAUGAGGGACGGUCAUAAUAAAGUUUACAAAUCGUUUUCAGAUAUAAUUGAGGGCAAAGAGGGAAGAUUUCGAGAGACUCUGCUUGGAAAACGAGUUGAUUAUUCGGGGCGUUCUGUUAUUGUCGUAGGUCCAUCACUUUCAUUACAUCGAUGUGGAUUGCCCCGCGAAAUAGCAAUAGAGCUAUUUCAGACAUUUCUAAUUCGUGGUUUAAUUCGAAAACAUUUUGCUUCGAACAUAGGAGUUGCUAAGAGUAAAAUACGGGAAAAAGAACCGAUUGUAUGGGAAAUACUUCAAGAAGUUAUGCGGGGGCAUCCAGUAUUGCUGAAUAGAGCGCCUACUUUGCAUAGAUUGGGCAUACAGGCAUUUCAACCUAUUUUAGUAGAAGGACGUGCUAUUUGUUUACAUCCAUUAGUGUGUAAGGGAUUCAAUGCAGACUUUGAUGGGGAUCAAAUGGCUGUUCAUGUGCCUUUAUCUUUGGAGGCUCAAGCAGAAGCUCGUUUACUUAUGUUUUCUCAUACAAACCUCUUGUCUCCGGCUAUUGGGGAUCCCAUUUCCGUACCAACUCAAGAUAUGCUUAUAGGACUUUACGUAUUAACUAGCGGAAAUCGUCGAGGUAUUUGUGCAAACAGGUAUAAUCCGUUUAAUUGCCGAAAUUCUAAAAAUGAAAAAAUUAGCAAUAAUAACUCUAAGUAUAUGAAAAAAAAAGAACCCUUUUUUUGCAAUUCCUAUGAUGCAAUUGGAGCUUAUCGACAGAAAAGAAUAAAUUUAGAUAGUCCUUUUUGGCUCCGGUGGCGAAUAGAUCAAUGCAUUAUGUCUUCAAGAGAAGUUCCUAUCGAAGUUCACUAUGAAUCUUUUGGUACCUAUUAUGAAAUUUAUGGGCAUUAUUUAGUAAUAAGAAGUAUAAAAAAAGAAAUUCGUUGUAUAUACAUUAGAACCACUGUUGGUCAUAUUUCUUUUUAUCGAGAAAUUGAAGAAGCUAUACAAGGUUUUUCUCGAGCCUAUUCAUAUGGUAUCUAAUCAUAUAGAUGGUUAGUGUUGAUAUCCAAGCUAGGUAAAUUUAUGUUAUGAUACUGGCGUAAAUUCAGGUCAACUAGCAUCUUUUCUAUUUUCUACGUGAAUAAACAUAAAGAAAAGGAAGUUUUCCAAUCAUUCACUCAAAUUCAUUGUCGAACCGAAUCCCACUGAGUGGAAUAUGGAGGUACUUAUGGCAGAACGGGCCAAUCUAGUCUUUCACUUUCUUCCAUGCUUAGUGCGCAUGAUAGAAAGAGUCGAGCUUUGGAGUUUAGAAGUACUUUUUCUUUAUCUUCCUUUGACCAUGAUGCUUCUGGUGUGAGUGUAUCCACCUUUGUUGUUGCAUCAGUUGUCAUAGGUAUAUGUUCUCCAUUUGUGAUUAUUUUCCACAUAUCCACGUCUUGGGAUCUGAGGAAUAGUUUCAUUUUUCCUUUCCAGAAAUAAUAGUUCUUUCCAUUGAAGAAUGGUGGUCUUGUGCAUGAUAGACCUUCUGGUAUGUACUUUUCUUUUGACAUUGCCUUCUUCCUGAAUCUUUUCCUCCAACACUUGUUAGGUGUUUUUGUAGAGCCCGGGCUCUGAUACCAAUUAAAGUAGCAAUAAACGUCACAAGAAAGGGGGGGUUUGAAUUGUGACCCUUUUAAAAAUUAUUCCUGAAACUUAAGUUUAGAUUUAUAUACUCAAGAAUAAUCUUGGUGUAUGUUAGCUUAACAAGAUUAGAGUAUAUAACAAUUAAUUGAAUUUAGAACAGAACAUUCUGAAGACUGAUUAUAAACAGAAUGAGAAAAAUGAUGUUAAGUUAAAAGAUUAUUUUAGCAAGGACCAGAAUGUUCUGGAGAUUAAUAAAAUAAUGUGUGUGUGUGUUGUGUAACUUUAAAUAAAGAGAGAGAUAGAGAUAGAGAGAGAGAGAGAGAAGAAUAACACAGGAGAGUUAUCCUGGUUCACCAAACCCGGCUACUUCCAGUCCCCACACCUCGUGUGAGAUUAUCCACUAUAGUUUUCUUGCUAACAGAAACUUCUGACUAGCACUACAAUAUCUUGAUCACACCAGAUCAGUCCGUAACCUCUGUAUUAUCAACCUCAGCAGGCUUAUACAAUUCUUUGCACACUAGCAAAAGAAAGGUUGGAAUUUUCUAUCUCAAAACUAUUAAGCCCAAUAGACUUUGAGAAAUACAACACUCUUUGUAUGAAGAGAUUUGUUUUGGAUCGAAUAAAUACUCAAAUCUUUGUUUGAGUUUUACAAGAGGCAAAUUCAAGAGAGAUGAUCCAAGAGAUAUAGUGAGAGAGCUUGGAAUUUGCUUUGUUUGUGAAGAGCUUUGUUUGUAGUGAUGAUUUUCACUUUGAGAGAUAUUAGCUUGCAAAACUCUUGCUUAUGACCUUCAAAGGCCCUUGUAUUUAUAGGUGAGGAGUGUCUUGGUACCAAGGGAGAAAAUAGAGCUGUUGGACACGUUUUUGAUAGCUGUCCAAAGUCUCAAUUGAUUUCUCUUUUCUUCUUUAAAAUAGCCAGAACGUUCUCAGAAUGUUCUUUCUGAUUUGCCUGACUUAGAAAGCACUGUUGCUUUGCUUGCGCAUGAGAUAACCAGCUGUGAUGAGCUGUAUAACUUGCAGCCCACUUCUGAUGAUGUCAUGUCCUUUUGCUCUAGUGAUGUCAUGCUUAAGUAAGCCAUGUGAUCUUAUCCAUUUAAUGGGCUUUACUUUUUCAAAUGGGCUUAAAGCUUUUCUUAUGGCCCAAUAGACAUAAUCAGCCAAGCUUUCUUGCUGUGCAGACUUGUUCGCUUUUGAUGUACUGUUCCAUUUUCAUCGUUUUCGCCAGAACGUUCUCAAUUCAUUCUCAUGAAACAAAUUCUCACAAAAACGAAUUAGUAGAUAACAAGAUUAAAUAAAUAUAAUAUGUUUGUAAUCUUUAAAACAUCAAAUAAGGAUUUUGUCUCAACAACUUUGUCCUCCGCACGAUUUAUUAGGAGCUUUGUCCUCCGCACGUUUAAAGUAUAUUAAUACUUAUGAUGACGAUUGGUACCACAUGCAUAUAAGGAGUCUAAGAGCAUUGUCGCAUUGUCGUGUCUAAGAUGCUAUGUUGUUGAUGAUGAUUGAAUAUGUGAUUACGUGAUAAUUGUUUAUCAAAUAUGCAAAGUUGUUUAAGAUUGAAUAUGAUGUUAAUGUUAAUUUAUGAUUCGAAUUACAUUGAUUAAUAUUAUUUUGUUAUGAAAUCUCACCCCUUCUGCUUGAAAAUGUUGCCCUUCGUAUGGGUAACUUGCAGGUGAUCGUGCUUAGUGUGCAGUUUGCCGUUGUGAGUGGCCUUGCCUCGCUGUGUCGUCUAGGUCGCUCUGAUACGUAACGGGAUGGGGUUUUAUGUUAUGCAUGCUUCAUUCUCUUACGUAACUAAUAUGUUAUUUUUAUAAUAUUAUCAAUUAUGAUUUGAAAUAUUUUGAUGGGGCCUGCGUGCCGAAACGUUUUAUGGAUUAUGAUAUAAUUUCCGCUGCAAUGUUUAAGUUAUUUGGUUAAAUUAUUAUUUAACUGUUUUGGAUUAUGUUAUAUGUGAUAUCCCGUUGUUUACGAUGCUUACUCUGAUAAAUGUUUUAAGAAAUUUUUAUAUUGGGAAAACGGAGUGUUACAGAAACUCCCCCUAUAAAUACCGCAUUCCUCAUUCACAAUUUCUCAUUCAUAACGAAGUGGUUCAAGAGGAAUGCAGUCACUAUGCAUCUAGGGAGGAUUCUCUCUCUUCACUCCAAAUUUUUCUAGAGUAUUUUUAUUUCUUUUAUAAUUUCUCUUUAGUUACCAUGGGUAACUAAAUCUUUUUAGGCUUGGGUUCUAAGAUUAACCUCUAUUCUGGUUGUUGGAUAAUUUAUGUAAAGUCUUUAUUUUAGUUAUUUAUCUUUAUGCUACUAGUUUUACUGUUGUUGCGUAAGAUUUGUCUACUAAAGCAUAAUCUACUUAGAAUAAUUGAACGUGAGUUAACUGUUAAUUAAUUCCAACAAAAUGAAUAGAGAUGAUUCAAAUUAUGUUCAAUAUUUAAGCUAACUGUGUCCUCUAUUUAAAUUAAUUGUUAUAUAUUAUAAACCUGAUAUAGCAUAGCCUAUAUAGGGCUCACAUGAAGCGAUCACAAUCGAUAAAACUAUAUUCUAUAGCUAACGGUUGAUCCUACAAUACGCUCAAUCAAUGCAAAAAUAUGUUGUCACCUAUUGGGUUCAUAUUUCUAUAAAUAACUUUGCCACGGCCAAACAGUAUUAUUUCUCUUUUGUGUUUUUUUCUUUUUAUAUCAUGAAAGGUCAAAAUAAUGGAUAUUUGUUAAAAUAAAAUAGCAUGAAUCCUUAUCAUUGAUGAGUUUUUUAUAUGACCUCCUUACUAAGCAUGAUAAAGAAACAAAUUGAACACAUUGAUGCAUUUAAGAGAUAUUUAAUAAUUAUUCUAAUUUUAAAAAGUAUCUAUAAUAUACAUAAAGAAAACUACCUCCUUUCAACACUUUUGGGUUGAAUUUUUCUUUCUAAAAAUGUCAUCAAUUUUCAAUACAAAUAAUACAUAUAAUAAAUAGACAAGAAUAAAUUUAAAUAUUAAAAAAACGUAACAAAUACGAUAUGAAUAUAUAUAUAUAUAUAUAUAUAUAUAUAUAUAUAUGUGUGUGUGUGUUUUUUUUUUCUUUAUCAUUUAAAAAGUGUAACAAACUAAAUGAGUAUAUUUAUAUUUAAUUUUUUCCAAUUACAUCUUUAAACAACUUUUUCUAUAAUAAAGAUUGUUGUUGGUGUUAUUGAAAUAAAUAAUCAUGUUUAAUUUGGUUUGUUAUACCUAGAAAGCAACAAAAAUUUAUAUUUUUAGUUUUAAUCAAAAUCAAAAUUUCAUAAAAAAAAAAAUAUAAUUCAUAAUUUUCAAAUUUUAACGCGGUAAAAAGAGUGAAAAUACGGGCACGUAAGUGCCCAUCUUUACGCUAAUUUUUAUAAUUGCAUAAGUGACUUUUUAGCUGAUGAAACGAUAUCAUAAUCUUUAUAAAUUGUAAAACCACAUUCUAUUUGUUAUAUGCAAAAGGCGAGAAAUAUGGCUAAACUUGUCAAGCUUGUUUAUGUUAUAAUUGUGUUUUAUACCCUAUUUCUUGUUGCAACGGAAAUUGUUUGUGAGCUAAUUUUUCAUACUCUUGAAAUUUCCUUUUAUUUCUUUUUAUCUCGUUUUAGUAACAUUAUUUUGUUCUUUUUCCUUCAAUACAGCGGGUAUUCCUUGUAACGAUGAUGUUGAUUGUCCACAGACUCUGUGUGAACAGUUAAUUGCCGACUUCAAGUAUAUGAUAGAUUUUAAGUCGGAGUGUGUUUCCCGUAUGUGUGCAUGUACCGGAAGUCCCGUUUAAGCUGCACUGGUGGUUGGUUUUGGUUCAAAAUGGAACAAUGAAAAAUACCUUUAAUAUUGGGUUGCUUAUAUAUUUUCACCAUAGAUGUGGAAAUCAUAAUAGGCUAUUAAUAAAAUUAUAAAUUAUACAUGUGGCCUUUAAAUAUCUUUUCUACGUACCCUUGUUAUUAAUUAAUUACUAAAAUCAAAAGAAAUUUCCUUCUCAAUUACAUGUCGUUGAGUUUUCCACCUAGAUAUGUGUUGUAUUUUUUUAUCUUAUUAAAAUAACAUAAAAUCUUAUUUACUCUCAAUCAAAAUCAAUCUAGAAUAUAAGGGUGUCUCUAUGUACUUCUCUAGGUGUGUGUUUAAUUGUUUUUUUUGUUGCAUAUAUGCAAAUAUCAAGUCAUAAAAACAUGUUUUACCUUAAUAAACACAACCAGGUGUUACUAAAAAAAUAUAAUCAUAAAAACCUAUAAUGAAAUAUAGAUAUACAAAUCAAGGAUAGAGGGAAAAGAAAUAUCUUCAAAUAAUAGAUGGAAAAUAGUGUUUUAUUUCUUUCUUCAUUACGAGAACUACGAUCUUUGGCUCUGGAACUGAAUCAUUUCCUUGUAUCUGAGAAAGACUUCCAGAUUCAAAGGAAGGAAGUUUAAUUGGACUGAAUCAGAAAUUUUAUUCUAUGAUUGAUCAGUAUAAACAUCAACACCUUCGAAUUGGAUCAGUUUCUCCUGAACAAAUAAGUGCUUGGGCAAAAAAAAUCCUACCUAAUGGAGAAAUUGUUGGAGAGGUAACAAAACCCUAUACUCUUCAUUACAAAACCAAUAAGCCUGAAAAAGAUGGAUUAUUUUGUGAACGAAUUUUUGGGCCUAUAAAAAGUGGGAUUUGUGCUUGUGGAAAUUAUCGAGUAAUCGGAGAUAAAAAAGACCAACCCAAAUUUUGUGAACAAUGCGGAGUAGAAUUUGUUGAUUCUCGGGUACGUAGGUAUCAAAUGGGGUAUAUAAAACUAGCAUGUCCAGUAACCCAUGUAUGGUAUUUGAAACGUCUUCCUAGUUAUAUUGCGAGCCUUUUAGAUAAACCUCUUAAAGAAUUAGAAGGUCUAGUAUACUGCGAUGUGUGAUUUGAUAAAAAUUCUUAUUGUACAGAUUUCAAAUGAGAAACUGUCAUUCCAUUCAAUUAAAUUGGAAUGUCCUCUAUCUGGCAUGUCUCUUGGGAUGAGUAACAUGAAGCUCAGAAUUCAUGGGUGUAUUGAAUACUCCCAAAUCAAUAAGGGAAUUGGUCUAUGGUCAAUUCAGUAACAAAUAAAUAUUUAUUUAUAACCGUACGUACCUUGUGAAAAAAAAAAAAUUAUUUUUUUGUGGAAUUAAUUAUUUCAUCUCUUUUUUUUUUAAGAACUUAAAUUAAGUUCAAAGAAUAAAAUAUAAUAUAUCAUGAUUGCCGAAGUCUAUCUAUCGCAUAUAGGCUUAAAGACAUCGUGGCAUAACCGUCGAGGUGACGUCUUGACCUAAAAGAUCAAAUGGUAUGAUACAUAGACAAAGAAAUCUCUUAUGAAUUCGAGGAUAUUCCUUUUUUUUAUUAAAAAGUAUAUUUUAAAGGAUUCUUCGUUCGAAGGGAGGUAGACUACUCAAGAAUUUUACAUUGAAUUUCUGUCGUAAUUUCGAAUUGCAUAAAGAAUUCAGAAACAAAGAAGAAUGUAUCAAUGAAAUGUUGCUUCGUCUGUAUUGAUAACUUGAGUAAAGAGUAAACCUUUUUUAUUUUAGAUUUAGAGGUUUUCAAAAAUUUGAAAACGGAAACCACUUUCUUUAUCUUUAUUGUGUGUAAAUACUUUAGCCGGAUGAGAGGAAACCCUCACGUCCGAUUUUCAAAGGGGGAGAUCCAUCUUAUUGGAUCCUAUCCAAAUUUUUCGUUUGCUAGGCCCGUAGUUAAAAAACCUACUUUCUUACGAUUACGAGGUUCAUUCGAAUACGAAAUCCAAUCUUGGAAAUACAGUAUCCCACUCUUUUUUGCUACUCAAGGUUUCGAUACAUUUCGAAAUAGAGAAAUUUCUAGUGGAGCAGGUGCUAUACGAGAACAAUUAGUUGAUUUGGAUUUAAGAAUUAUUAUGGAUUCUUCGUUGGUAGAAUGGAAAGAAUUAGGAGAAGAGGGAUCCGCCGACAAUGAAAAUGAAAAUGAAUGGGAAGAUCGAAAAGUAGGAAGAAGAAAGAAUUUUUUGGUUCGACGCAUGGAAUUAGUUAAGCACUUUAUCCGAACAAAUAUAGAACCAGAAUGGAUGGUUUUAUCUCUCUUACCAGUUCUUCCUCCCGAAUUGAGACCAAUUAUUCAAAUAGAUGGAGGGAAACUAAUGAGUUCGGAUAUUAAUGAACUCUAUAGAAGAGUUAUCUAUCGGAACAAUACUCUUAUUGACCUAUUAACAACAAGUAGAUCUACACCAGGGGAAUUAGUAAUGUGUCAAGAAAAAUUGGUACAAGAAGCCGUGGAUACACUCCUUGAUAAUGGAAUCCGCGGACAACCAAUGAGGGACGGUCAUAAUAAAGUUUACAAAUCGUUUUCAGAUAUAAUUGAGGGCAAAGAGGGAAGAUUUCGAGAGACUCUGCUUGGAAAACGAGUUGAUUAUUCGGGGCGUUCUGUUAUUGUCGUAGGUCCAUCACUUUCAUUACAUCGAUGUGGAUUGCCCCGCGAAAUAGCAAUAGAGCUAUUUCAGACAUUUCUAAUUCGUGGUUUAAUUCGAAAACAUUUUGCUUCGAACAUAGGAGUUGCUAAGAGUAAAAUACGGGAAAAAGAACCGAUUGUAUGGGAAAUACUUCAAGAAGUUAUGCGGGGGCAUCCAGUAUUGCUGAAUAGAGCGCCUACUUUGCAUAGAUUGGGCAUACAGGCAUUUCAACCUAUUUUAGUAGAAGGACGUGCUAUUUGUUUACAUCCAUUAGUGUGUAAGGGAUUCAAUGCAGACUUUGAUGGGGAUCAAAUGGCUGUUCAUGUGCCUUUAUCUUUGGAGGCUCAAGCAGAAGCUCGUUUACUUAUGUUUUCUCAUACAAACCUCUUGUCUCCGGCUAUUGGGGAUCCCAUUUCCGUACCAACUCAAGAUAUGCUUAUAGGACUUUACGUAUUAACUAGCGGAAAUCGUCGAGGUAUUUGUGCAAACAGGUAUAAUCCGUUUAAUUGCCGAAAUUCUAAAAAUGAAAAAAUUAGCAAUAAUAACUCUAAGUAUAUGAAAAAAAAAGAACCCUUUUUUUGCAAUUCCUAUGAUGCAAUUGGAGCUUAUCGACAGAAAAGAAUAAAUUUAGAUAGUCCUUUUUGGCUCCGGUGGCGAAUAGAUCAAUGCAUUAUGUCUUCAAGAGAAGUUCCUAUCGAAGUUCACUAUGAAUCUUUUGGUACCUAUUAUGAAAUUUAUGGGCAUUAUUUAGUAAUAAGAAGUAUAAAAAAAGAAAUUCGUUGUAUAUACAUUAGAACCACUGUUGGUCAUAUUUCUUUUUAUCGAGAAAUUGAAGAAGCUAUACAAGGUUUUUCUCGAGCCUAUUCAUAUGGUAUCUAAUCAUAUAGAUGGUUAGUGUUGAUAUCCAAGCUAGGUAAAUUUAUGUUAUGAUACUGGCGUAAAUUCAGGUCAACUAGCAUCUUUUCUAUUUUCUACGUGAAUAAACAUAAAGAAAAGGAAGUUUUCCAAUCAUUCACUCAAAUUCAUUGUCGAACCGAAUCCCACUGAGUGGAAUAUGGAGGUACUUAUGGCAGAACGGGCCAAUCUAGUCUUUCACUUUCUUCCAUGCUUAGUGCGCAUGAUAGAAAGAGUCGAGCUUUGGAGUUUAGAAGUACUUUUUCUUUAUCUUCCUUUGACCAUGAUGCUUCUGGUGUGAGUGUAUCCACCUUUGUUGUUGCAUCAGUUGUCAUAGGUAUAUGUUCUCCAUUUGUGAUUAUUUUCCACAUAUCCACGUCUUGGGAUCUGAGGAAUAGUUUCAUUUUUCCUUUCCAGAAAUAAUAGUUCUUUCCAUUGAAGAAUGGUGGUCUUGUGCAUGAUAGACCUUCUGGUAUGUACUUUUCUUUUGACAUUGCCUUCUUCCUGAAUCUUUUCCUCCAACACUUGUUAGGUGUUUUUGUAGAGCCCGGGCUCUGAUACCAAUUAAAGUAGCAAUAAACGUCACAAGAAAGGGGGGGUUUGAAUUGUGACCCUUUUAAAAAUUAUUCCUGAAACUUAAGUUUAGAUUUAUAUACUCAAGAAUAAUCUUGGUGUAUGUUAGCUUAACAAGAUUAGAGUAUAUAACAAUUAAUUGAAUUUAGAACAGAACAUUCUGAAGACUGAUUAUAAACAGAAUGAGAAAAAUGAUGUUAAGUUAAAAGAUUAUUUUAGCAAGGACCAGAAUGUUCUGGAGAUUAAUAAAAUAAUGUGUGUGUGUGUUGUGUAACUUUAAAUAAAGAGAGAGAUAGAGAUAGAGAGAGAGAGAGAGAAGAAUAACACAGGAGAGUUAUCCUGGUUCACCAAACCCGGCUACUUCCAGUCCCCACACCUCGUGUGAGAUUAUCCACUAUAGUUUUCUUGCUAACAGAAACUUCUGACUAGCACUACAAUAUCUUGAUCACACCAGAUCAGUCCGUAACCUCUGUAUUAUCAACCUCAGCAGGCUUAUACAAUUCUUUGCACACUAGCAAAAGAAAGGUUGGAAUUUUCUAUCUCAAAACUAUUAAGCCCAAUAGACUUUGAGAAAUACAACACUCUUUGUAUGAAGAGAUUUGUUUUGGAUCGAAUAAAUACUCAAAUCUUUGUUUGAGUUUUACAAGAGGCAAAUUCAAGAGAGAUGAUCCAAGAGAUAUAGUGAGAGAGCUUGGAAUUUGCUUUGUUUGUGAAGAGCUUUGUUUGUAGUGAUGAUUUUCACUUUGAGAGAUAUUAGCUUGCAAAACUCUUGCUUAUGACCUUCAAAGGCCCUUGUAUUUAUAGGUGAGGAGUGUCUUGGUACCAAGGGAGAAAAUAGAGCUGUUGGACACGUUUUUGAUAGCUGUCCAAAGUCUCAAUUGAUUUCUCUUUUCUUCUUUAAAAUAGCCAGAACGUUCUCAGAAUGUUCUUUCUGAUUUGCCUGACUUAGAAAGCACUGUUGCUUUGCUUGCGCAUGAGAUAACCAGCUGUGAUGAGCUGUAUAACUUGCAGCCCACUUCUGAUGAUGUCAUGUCCUUUUGCUCUAGUGAUGUCAUGCUUAAGUAAGCCAUGUGAUCUUAUCCAUUUAAUGGGCUUUACUUUUUCAAAUGGGCUUAAAGCUUUUCUUAUGGCCCAAUAGACAUAAUCAGCCAAGCUUUCUUGCUGUGCAGACUUGUUCGCUUUUGAUGUACUGUUCCAUUUUCAUCGUUUUCGCCAGAACGUUCUCAAUUCAUUCUCAUGAAACAAAUUCUCACAAAAACGAAUUAGUAGAUAACAAGAUUAAAUAAAUAUAAUAUGUUUGUAAUCUUUAAAACAUCAAAUAAGGAUUUUGUCUCAACAACUUUGUCCUCCGCACGAUUUAUUAGGAGCUUUGUCCUCCGCACGUUUAAAGUAUAUUAAUACUUAUGAUGACGAUUGGUACCACAUGCAUAUAAGGAGUCUAAGAGCAUUGUCGCAUUGUCGUGUCUAAGAUGCUAUGUUGUUGAUGAUGAUUGAAUAUGUGAUUACGUGAUAAUUGUUUAUCAAAUAUGCAAAGUUGUUUAAGAUUGAAUAUGAUGUUAAUGUUAAUUUAUGAUUCGAAUUACAUUGAUUAAUAUUAUUUUGUUAUGAAAUCUCACCCCUUCUGCUUGAAAAUGUUGCCCUUCGUAUGGGUAACUUGCAGGUGAUCGUGCUUAGUGUGCAGUUUGCCGUUGUGAGUGGCCUUGCCUCGCUGUGUCGUCUAGGUCGCUCUGAUACGUAACGGGAUGGGGUUUUAUGUUAUGCAUGCUUCAUUCUCUUACGUAACUAAUAUGUUAUUUUUAUAAUAUUAUCAAUUAUGAUUUGAAAUAUUUUGAUGGGGCCUGCGUGCCGAAACGUUUUAUGGAUUAUGAUAUAAUUUCCGCUGCAAUGUUUAAGUUAUUUGGUUAAAUUAUUAUUUAACUGUUUUGGAUUAUGUUAUAUGUGAUAUCCCGUUGUUUACGAUGCUUACUCUGAUAAAUGUUUUAAGAAAUUUUUAUAUUGGGAAAACGGAGUGUUACAGAAACUCCCCCUAUAAAUACCGCAUUCCUCAUUCACAAUUUCUCAUUCAUAACGAAGUGGUUCAAGAGGAAUGCAGUCACUAUGCAUCUAGGGAGGAUUCUCUCUCUUCACUCCAAAUUUUUCUAGAGUAUUUUUAUUUCUUUUAUAAUUUCUCUUUAGUUACCAUGGGUAACUAAAUCUUUUUAGGCUUGGGUUCUAAGAUUAACCUCUAUUCUGGUUGUUGGAUAAUUUAUGUAAAGUCUUUAUUUUAGUUAUUUAUCUUUAUGCUACUAGUUUUACUGUUGUUGCGUAAGAUUUGUCUACUAAAGCAUAAUCUACUUAGAAUAAUUGAACGUGAGUUAACUGUUAAUUAAUUCCAACAAAAUGAAUAGAGAUGAUUCAAAUUAUGUUCAAUAUUUAAGCUAACUGUGUCCUCUAUUUAAAUUAAUUGUUAUAUAUUAUAAACCUGAUAUAGCAUAGCCUAUAUAGGGCUCACAUGAAGCGAUCACAAUCGAUAAAACUAUAUUCUAUAGCUAACGGUUGAUCCUACAAUACGCUCAAUCAAUGCAAAAAUAUGUUGUCACCUAUUGGGUUCAUAUUUCUAUAAAUAACUUUGCCACGGCCAAACAGUAUUAUUUCUCUUUUGUGUUUUUUUCUUUUUAUAUCAUGAAAGGUCAAAAUAAUGGAUAUUUGUUAAAAUAAAAUAGCAUGAAUCCUUAUCAUUGAUGAGUUUUUUAUAUGACCUCCUUACUAAGCAUGAUAAAGAAACAAAUUGAACACAUUGAUGCAUUUAAGAGAUAUUUAAUAAUUAUUCUAAUUUUAAAAAGUAUCUAUAAUAUACAUAAAGAAAACUACCUCCUUUCAACACUUUUGGGUUGAAUUUUUCUUUCUAAAAAUGUCAUCAAUUUUCAAUACAAAUAAUACAUAUAAUAAAUAGACAAGAAUAAAUUUAAAUAUUAAAAAAACGUAACAAAUACGAUAUGAAUAUAUAUAUAUAUAUAUAUAUAUAUAUAUAUGUGUGUGUGUGUUUUUUUUUUCUUUAUCAUUUAAAAAGUGUAACAAACUAAAUGAGUAUAUUUAUAUUUAAUUUUUUCCAAUUACAUCUUUAAACAACUUUUUCUAUAAUAAAGAUUGUUGUUGGUGUUAUUGAAAUAAAUAAUCAUGUUUAAUUUGGUUUGUUAUACCUAGAAAGCAACAAAAAUUUAUAUUUUUAGUUUUAAUCAAAAUCAAAAUUUCAUAAAAAAAAAAAUAUAAUUCAUAAUUUUCAAAUUUUAACGCGGUAAAAAGAGUGAAAAUACGGGCACGUAAGUGCCCAUCUUUACGCUAAUUUUUAUAAUUGCAUAAGUGACUUUUUAGCUGAUGAAACGAUAUCAUAAUCUUUAUAAAUUGUAAAACCACAUUCUAUUUGUUAUAUGCAAAAGGCGAGAAAUAUGGCUAAACUUGUCAAGCUUGUUUAUGUUAUAAUUGUGUUUUAUACCCUAUUUCUUGUUGCAACGGAAAUUGUUUGUGAGCUAAUUUUUCAUACUCUUGAAAUUUCCUUUUAUUUCUUUUUAUCUCGUUUUAGUAACAUUAUUUUGUUCUUUUUCCUUCAAUACAGCGGGUAUUCCUUGUAACGAUGAUGUUGAUUGUCCACAGACUCUGUGUGAACAGUUAAUUGCCGACUUCAAGUAUAUGAUAGAUUUUAAGUCGGAGUGUGUUUCCCGUAUGUGUGCAUGUACCGGAAGUCCCGUUUAAGCUGCACUGGUGGUUGGUUUUGGUUCAAAAUGGAACAAUGAAAAAUACCUUUAAUAUUGGGUUGCUUAUAUAUUUUCACCAUAGAUGUGGAAAUCAUAAUAGGCUAUUAAUAAAAUUAUAAAUUAUACAUGUGGCCUUUAAAUAUCUUUUCUACGUACCCUUGUUAUUAAUUAAUUACUAAAAUCAAAAGAAAUUUCCUUCUCAAUUACAUGUCGUUGAGUUUUCCACCUAGAUAUGUGUUGUAUUUUUUUAUCUUAUUAAAAUAACAUAAAAUCUUAUUUACUCUCAAUCAAAAUCAAUCUAGAAUAUAAGGGUGUCUCUAUGUACUUCUCUAGGUGUGUGUUUAAUUGUUUUUUUUGUUGCAUAUAUGCAAAUAUCAAGUCAUAAAAACAUGUUUUA
rnacentral:lncRNA from 1 species